rnacentral:lncRNA from 1 species
AAUUUUUUUUGUGAUUUAUCUAAAAUCUUGAAGUAACUUUGUACAAUAUUAAAUGUAUUUCUACUAUUAUUUAUGCCGUGUAUCAAAAACUUUUAAAUGUAUUAUUUUAUAAUGUGUUGUAAAUUUUGAAAUAUUGAGUACGUCUGGCACAGUUAUACGAAUUAAGAGGCCUCGUAUAAUUUUUGUUAUGGUGUUCCUAUGAUUGUCAUCCUGAUGUAACCUGGGAUCAAAUUAUGAGUGUGUAGCGCUGCUCAAUGUAUAGCACCUUGUUGUCUACCUAUCUUCAAGGUUUUUGUUUUAGAAUUUACUAUGAACCUCUGAUAUUUUUACCAUUCCUAUUUUCGACUCUUCUAACUGAAUUUAUUCUAGGUUAAUCGUACCUACGUAGCUAGUGUCAUGUAUAGAAUCACAUUUUAACACAAAGUCGUGCUUGGAUAUUCCCCACUGUUUUAGUUUAUGUGUAGAAAUUCAGUGUGAAAGAAAUUCUCUCAAUUAUUUUCGUCCAUCAUGUGUCCGAGAACUAGCCAUUAAAUUGUGCUUCCCUGGAGAGGUGGCAUUAACAGGGCAAACUAGGUCCCUCUGGAAUUUUUAAGAGAUGCUGAUGUUGUCCAAUCUAUAUAGAAGAAGGGUUGGGGAAAGAAACCCCACUGAUUGGGGAAAGUGUUCCAAGGCAUAACUGUGCAUAGGAGCGAUAAGGUUUGUAUUGAUGAUAAACAAGCAUCCAUGACUCGGGGGCGUGGAGACUUUUUAUAUAAACGCUGAAACCUUUGCCAAACGACCAAAACGACUGCAUAUAUGAUGAUCCAUUCGAGGCAAUUUGGUUCAGCUAAGGAAAAAAAAACUUAGGGACUGUCCUUCGUCACAUAUGGUUAACCAUCUGUAGCCCACGUUAAUUCUUCUUCUUGAUCUUGACCUCUAUAAUUUGUAUAGAGACUAGGCUGUACAAUCUCUUGUAUCGCAGCAGUAAGUGUCUCUUUUGUGGACGUGUGGGGCGCAUAAGAGAAGGACGUGGGACCAAAUUUUGAAAGUUAAAUGGCCUGAAAGAAAUCCCGUGAGCACCCAGCUUGAUUAUUUGAAAGAGAGCAACAACCCCACACGACAGCCUCUAAUAAUCCUGCAGUGUUCAUAAUUUACUGAUUGGCCUCAACGCUGGUGCUUUAUUGAAACCCCGAUAAUAAUAAUAAAAAAUGAUAAAUUGAGUUAAGAGUUGACACUUGUUUGUGCAAGCAAUCUAGUUGAUGGCUGUUUUUAGCACAAAAGACUUACAAUCAUUAAUUAACAUUAUCCUAUUUUAUGUUUCCCUCUAAUAAAACAUAAUGGUUAAUGGCUUCUAUUUCUUACUUCAUAGUUAUAAUGACUAUGUGGGGUGAGCCAUUCUGUACAACCCCUUCCAGAACUCUCAAUCAAAGCGCUGAAUACUUUCUGCAUUAUGUUGCAAAAGCCUUUUUCCUACGUCAAAGUGCUGAUGAAAAGAGAGCGAGGCAAGUUGAUAAAUUGCACGUGAUAAUUUCGAGGAAAACAGCACUCAUAUUGAAUAGUAUUAUCAUUGGAUCGGACUAGCCCAGAAGUGCGCCGUCGUCUGGACUGGUUUUUUCACUAUUAGUUCAUAGAAUUAAGUACAACAGCGAAAAAUGGCUUGAACUGGGUUUGAAAAGAUCUAGACCCACAAGUUUAUCUCUACCACUAGGUAGGAUCAUUUCCCCUUCCCCUUUCGUCUUUCCCCGUGUAUCAGCCCACCCAUCCUGCAGUGGGAGCCCCAACAAUUAUCCAUGUUUCCUUGCAGAAUUUUUCUUGCGAUCUUAAAGUUCAUGUUUGUGGAUUUUUUUCACAUUUUCAGGUUGUUGCUGAAGCAGCAGAAGACAUAUGGGAUCGUUAUGGCUUUGACUUUGGAACUGACUAUUCUGGUCUUUAUGUUGCUCUUUCUCAUGCUAAUUACAAUGUACGUUUGGCUGCUGCAGAAGCAUUGGCUGCAGCUUUGGACGAGAAUCCUGAUACUAUACAAGUUAAUAUCUCCUUUCUUGAAACAGUUGCGUGUUCCUUGUUUGUUUAGCUAUUAUGCAUUUUCUAACUAGCUGCUAUUUCUCCAGGAAACUCUUUCGACUUUGUUUUCAAUGUACAUUCAAUAUGCUGCCAAUGCGACAGAUACAGCAGACGCUUUCUGGUUAGGAAGGCAGGGGAUUGCCAUGGCGUUACAUUCUGCUGCUGAUGUUUUAAGAACGAAAGAUCUCCCUGUUGUCAUGACUUUUUUAAUUUCACGUGCAUUGGUAAGAAUUCAAAUUUUUGUUAAAAGAUGGUUUUUUAAUUUAAUGCUAUUAAUUUCGGACAAAAAUAAUGUGGCUUUGACACUACUUUGGUAAUGCAAUCUUGAAUAUUGUCCAUGACUUGGGUUUGAUGUGCAUGGAGACAAUCAUGUAGAAGAUGAAAUGUGGCUGUUGACUCAUUUUUAACCUUUAAAGCAUGUUCUUGGAGCAUUUCUAUAAAAUUUUGAGAUCAUCUUUGAAAGACGUAUGCAUAUUUUACCUCAAGUUCACGGCGUGUCUGAAUUGUCUCACUGAUUGAGCUCUUACUGGAUUUGUGCUACUAAACAAUCACAAAGCGAAGGUAAAUCGAUGACUAAAAUUCACGCGAAUCUGACUAUUGUUCUUCUCUAGCUGUUGGCUAGAACUGUUGUUUUUUAGACUUUUUCCUGCAGUGUGGUUUCUAAAUUGAAAAGCAGCAACUUACAAAUUAGUGUACCAUUUUGUAGGCGGAUCCUAGUAUUGACGUUCGUGGAAGGAUGAUCAACGCUGGCAUCGUGAUUAUUGAUAGACAUGGGAAAGAAAAUGUUUCACUAUUGUUUCCUAUUUUUGAGAACUACCUAAAUAAAAAGGUAUGAUCUUUCGAUCAGUCUUCUCUUUUCCUCGGUGACGUAAAAGCUACGUCAGUGUCUCCAUUCGUGAAUGACAAACGGCAUUGGGGCAGACGCCCUCUUCUUGUCCUGACUGUAUUGAUCAUUUAUAUCAUCGAUAAAAUAUUAAGUGAAGAUUUUUGGAGUUCUGUCAUUUGAGGAUAUAUGUACUACGUUAUUUUUAUUCAAUAGGAUUUUAAAUGUGUUUGAAAAAGGUGGUCUCUAAGCACCUCGCCUUGCUGUCUAUAUUAAAAGUAGUGGAACAUUGUUUUGAUUACCGUCAACCCCUUUAUUUCAUCUGAAAUUGUUUUCUUUGGUUAAUGACAGGCUUCUAAUGAAGAAAAAUAUGACUUGAUACGGGAAGGUGUUGUUAUAUUCACUGGAGCUCUGGCUAAACACUUGGCAAAGGUAUGUAGGAAAUUUUUUUCCUUUUCAUCUGUUUCAUCAUCUGUUGCCAAGAUUUUAUUUCGUUUUUUCCAUUUUUUUAAUUUUCUAAGUUUUUGUGGGCAGGAUGAUGCCAAAGUCCAUGAUGUUGUUGAGAAGUUAUUGGAUGUUUUAAAUACUCCAUCUGAGGCUGUACAAAGGGCUGUUUCAGACUGUCUCUCUCCGUUGAUGGUUGCAGAGCAGGUAUGGUGUUCUCAUCAAGUAUUGUUCUUUUAGUGGUUUGAAAGGAUGCUAUCUAAGUUAUUGUUGUGUUACAAUAAAAAUUUUCUGCUAGUCAGUAUUUACCCAAAAAGUGAAUUUCUGCUGCUCUGUGGUUCUCUUUUGUUUAUGUGUCUUUGAAUUGUACUGAAUGAUGAUAAUAAAGAGGACGUUUGUGUACAUUUGAGAGGUAAGUCAACAAACGAUACUCUUUAAAGGUGUUGGUCAUGCCGGGUGAAUGCCAUGUGUGAUGUGGGAUUUAGCAUGCUUAUGACUGAAUUUAGGAGAAACCAGCAAAUGCCAAUUUAAAGAAAGGUUGCGCGACUAAAUAAAUAUCCUCAUUGAGCAGUCAUGGCAGGACUGUGUUCAUAGUUAGCAUCAGUAGACAAGAGUUUUGCUUUCAAAAUCAGAAUUAGAUCAUAAGAAGUAUGGAAACUUCCCCCAACUAGUGUAAUUGUUUAUGUUGUGCACAGAGUAAACUAGAAUAGUGAAUAAGGAGGUAGGACUGGUGGGGAUUUAGAGACAAGGGUAAGUAGCAAUGAAAUAUGUUUGAUAGAAAAUUAGAUGAAAGGUCUAGAAAGGGUUGACUAUGAUUUUACCUUGAUCGUAUGGAUGGAAGUUUUUGGCUUACGAUAUUUGAGUAAACAGCAAACCUACUGUGUUCCUCUUUGUUGGUGUAAAGACACUAAACAACAUAGAGGAUGAUAGGGAUCAAACAAGGACGAACCAACCGUCAGCUUCAUACUUUUUGAUUUGAUUACUCACUAGAGGACCGUUUUUGACCCCUCAGAGAAAGAGUUAUUAGCAAAAUUUGCAUUCAAAAUAUUUUUGGACAUGAAGUUUAGCUCCCUAUUUUUAGGAAAAAUAUGAGGCCUUGGAAGGGGCUUUCUUAGCUCCGAAUACAAAUGAGCUUGUAUUCCAGCCAUAAAUACUCCUAAAAAGUAGUGAAAACGGUGGGAUAGCCUAAGUUCUUCUAGAAACGGCCUAAUGACCGACGAGAAUCAGACCAAAGAAAUCCCUAUUACAUUAUUCACCUAGUCUAGCCAAAUGCAUCCUUCUAGUGUAGCCAGGACUCUGAUCUCAUCAAUUUUCAUGCAUCAUCCCUAUGGCGCCUGUACUGACAGAAAAUUUUUCUGUAAUGAAACGUUAUUGAAACUCUCAUAGGUUUAUGUUGGUGGCCAUGUCUUUUGGUUUUGAUGUCUUUGGUGCAUUCUUCUGUAGAAUAAAUGAGUUACUUUUUCUCAGGGUAGAUAUGCAUUGUGUUUUUGGCAGUAUGACCUUUGAUCAUUUUAAAGUUUGGUUCUUGUAAGAUGAUAUUCCUUCAAUACUUGGAUUGAAGGAAUAUCAUCAUACAAGAACCAAUAAAUGAGGGUCGAAUGCGCCUUGGAUUGGAUUAUUCUAAAUGAGGGUCGAAUGCGCCAGUAUAUCUCAUGAGACUGUUGUCCGCCUAAUCAUUGACCAAUACAAAAUCUAUAUUGAUCCCAACACAUAUUAUCUUCAUUAUAUUUUAUUCUAGAUUCUUAUGGUGUCAAAAAUUGACAUGUCGUGGUUGAUGGAUAAUAGCCCACAAGGGGAAGAAAAUAGAUGGUGUUGGGAUCGACAAGAGUAGAGCCUUGAGAUUUUCUUUUUAUGGUGAUCAAAUAUUUCACCGGUCACUUGAAUUAUGUUUCAAAUUUUCGUCAUAUCUUAUUAAUUGGUUUGUUUGCCACCUGACUGCAGGUUGUCGUUGCCUUUAAAUUGCGAACUUGUCCUGUAGUUGAUUCCGAUGAUAUUGAGAAUGUUUCAUAGUUCGUUUAUCAUUACUGCAUUCCAUCGGUUGCUGAUUAUUUGUUUUUAUGCCAUUAUGUCAAUUAUCAUUAUAACAUGGUCAAAGCUGUUUUCCUUUCAUUCCCCGGUAUAUCAGCAAUUCCUGGCGCUUCCUAUAAUGUUUAGAUUUUUGAGAAUCCUGUCAUACGUAUCUUUUUCCGCGUGAAUCAGAUCGUCUUUUGCAGUUUGUCAUGAGAUGUAUUUGAGAACUAAUGAAAUCGUCUUUCUUAUAAUUAAGCAGGAUAAUGGCCAGGAAAUUGUUUCCCGCCUAUUAGACAGGCUAAUGAAAAGUGACAAGUAUGGUGACAGGCGUGGUGCAGCAUUUGGACUUGCCGGGGUUAUCAAGGGCUUUGGAAUUCGUUGCCUUAAGACGUAUGGGAUCAUAAAAGUUCUUCAAGAAGGUUUGGAGGACAGGUAUAAUCGAGUCUAUAAUGUAGUUAUGAGCCAAUAAUAUUCAUUGAAGAUUCCUUAUAUUAGAAAAAUAUCGUAUUUUUUGCAGGAGUUCUGCUAAAUCACGUGAAGGAGCUCUACUAGGUUUUGAGUGCCUAUGCGAGAAGCUUGGAAGAUUGUUUGAACCGUAUGUAUUAAUAUGUUCUUAUAACUGUCUCCUUAAUGCCUGCUGAUUGCCUUUGCUUUUUCUCCAUGCAUUCCAGGUAUGUUAUUCAAUAUUUGCCUUUGCUGUUGGUAUCUUUCUCCGAUCAAGUAGCAGCUGUGCGUGAAGCGGCUGAAUGUGCUGCUCGUGCAAUGAUGUCGCAGCUUAGUGGACAUGGAGUGAAGCUCAUUCUUCCUUCGCUUCUGAAGGUUUUUGUUUUGACGACUUAUCCAUGUUAUCUAUACCGCUUUUUUGUUUCGAUUGCUCUGCAAUUUAUUGCGUUUUUUUUAUUGUUGUCUGAUGUCCAUGUCAUUGUGUUUAAUUGAAUGUUAUAACAUCAGUUUGCUUUAUUAACGAUUUCAUUGCCAUUUUUUUACCCUCUCGGGUUCAACAAUUCAUUAGAGUUGGCUUUGAGCAUUGCUGCACAAUUGCUCUCUCUCUCUCAGGCACACAGAUUAGCUUCUUAGUGGCAACACAGUUGGCUAAGACAAGAUGUAUUUCUAGAUAAUCUUUGCUCGUAUAUUAAUGGAUGAAAUCUAUUGUUAGAUUUCACCAAUCAGUCUUACAAAAUAUGCCCUUAUCUGAGCGUUCUUUGGGAAUCUCUUGCUUUUUUUUUCUUAUUCAUCAGUUUGAAAUCAAUAUUAUCAAAUUAGGUUUUAAGGAAAAAUCAUGGAAUAUAAGUCGAUGGAUAAGGUGAAACGUCACCAGUUAUUUUUUCAAAUGCUUUUAUCGCCCUGUUGGACUAAUAGUGAAUGCAUAAACCGUUUGAGUUAUUUCAUCCGAUUGGUUUAUGCUGUGAUAUCAUAUUGUAAAUGGCCUUAAAAUAAGUGGCCUCAGAAAAACACGAGGUUUUAAUCCCGAUGACUAAAAAAACUAGGUUCGAACAUAAUAUCUUUGAUUGGUGGCUAACUGUUAAUGUUGAUUCAUGUUUGCUGUUGGACUGAGUCGUGGCGAAAUGAAACAGACUACCUUAGCUGUUGGAUUGUCAUCUCCUUUUCGAUUACGUUGAUACUAUGAUUCCGUACUGUUGCAAAUUGCUAAUUUUGAUUUAAUAUUGCAAUUCAUAAUCACCUUUUCCAUUUUUUUUCCUGUAUACAUAUAGAUCCACGAGAAAUGAAGCUGAAUUUGUCCUCAGUAGCUGUUAAUCGAAAUCCCAUUGGGCUCCGUCAGUCCACCUCACCUUAGUGGCACGAGUCAGACUGAUAGAAAACCAGUUCCAUUGUUUUUCGAAGAUUAAUGGUCUUCAAACUUUUCAGUGAGCCCUUUGUCUUGUACGAGGCGAGACUGUAGAAUCAGAGAAGAAAGAUGAGGAAAAAUAUAGAUAGAAGAAGAGGAUGUGCUGCCUACCAUGGGUUUAUUCAAGGAGAAAAGAUACGAAAAUAAACCGAUUUGGUAUCACCCCUCAAUUCGAAUCAGCAUAUAAUGAUAUAAAAGUGGGGAACCAGACCUCGGCCAUCCCCAACCCGUCACCAUUAUCGUGCUAACUGUGUCUGCUAGUUUUUCUUCUCCUCCCAGAUGAACCUCCUAAGAAUAUGUGAAAUGUAUUGUUUAAAAAAUGUAUCUUUUACUCCUAAAAUAGUCCUUUCCCUUAUAUCGGAUGAUUUGGCUGAUCGGAUCAUUAUCUAGAGGUGGACAAAGAUUUGAUCCAAUUUGGUGCACUUUGGUCGGGGUUGGUUGACAUCGUUAAUCUUGUGUGGAUGAAGAACCAGAUGUUUCAUAGCUAGGUAUAGAUUGCAUCGGUUUGUUAAGUUGCCAAACCUCUCGAUAUAUAUAUUGCUCCUAGUCUUGGAAUGUCAUUCCUCGUUCUCUUGAUAUGAUGCGGUACUAUGAGACUAUUGAAUAACGAGAAUACGCUCUGGAGAUUUUUUACUUUCGUGACGCAUCAUGUUUCUAAAGCUCGACAGAAAACAAAUCAAUUUUAAUUCGGCCAUACAUCAUGAAGAUUUUUUAAAAAUUUGAAACUUUUCACUGAAACCAUCAUGCGUAUGAGUGGCGUGGUUACUACAUUGAUCUGACUACCCUUUUCUAAAGUUUCACUGUACUGAGGUUAACUAACUGUUUUAAUUGUCAAGGAUGCAUGCUCAUAUAAUGUUAACUUUUGUUCCUGUAACAUAUUGUUAGUCCCCCCUCAGUGAAAUAGUUUGCUUUUACUGAAGUAUGACUGGGGAGGAAAGAUGACAGUAAAAGUACAAAAGCUCAAGUGUGAAGUUAAGAGUAUCUGUACCCAGAAUUUGUUGUCAUAUUUUUGUUCUUUCCACAUGGAACUUUUCAAUGCAUGUUUUAUUUGCUUGUUUCUUUUUUCCUCUGUAACCUUUGUCCAUAAAAAGAAUUUUAUUUUCGCUUUCGUAACUCAACCAAUAUGCCAUAUAUACAUAUAAAUAUGUAGAACGCUCCAUCUCUGGUGUUAAUAUCCGUCUCUUGUAGUCCGGGGGUAAGGUUCUAAUCCUCUGAACUUUGGAGGCUAUGGUCUGAAAAGGAGGAAAGGUAGCGUUAGAAAGUGCCUCAUUAGAAAUGCUUUGGCCAUCUUUUAGAAACGAAGAGGAAGUGUAAUAAAAAUUGAAUUUGGGCCAUAUAAAAAUUUCUAGAAUGCACAGGCUCGAAAUGUCAUUGAUUUUUUUUUCCCAUUUAAACAGGGUCUGGAAGAUAAAGCCUGGAGAACUAAGCAAAGUAGUGUGCAGCUUCUCGGUGCCAUGGCUUUUUGUGCGCCUCAGCAGUUGUCUCAAUGCCUUCCUAAAAUUGUGCCCAAGCUUACGGAGGUUUCCAAUUUAUCAUUGGGAUCUUGCUUAUCGGAUUCAUUUGCCUAACAGCUUGCUUAUGAAAUUUCUGUGUGUCAGGUAUUGACAGAUACACAUCCCAAGGUUCAGUCAGCUGGACAAAUGGCUCUUCAGCAGGUUUUGUUUCUCUUUUUUUUACAUGUGUUGGUGUCGUAUUGUGGUCCGAUAAUGAUAAUAUCCAUUAUUCUUUACAGGUUGGAAGUGUCAUAAAAAAUCCAGAGAUAGCUGCCCUUGUCCCAACAUUAUUGUUGGGUCUUACUGAUCCCAAUGAGCACACUAAGCACUCGCUGGAUAUUCUUCUUCAAGUAUGAAUAUUUGUUAGAAACAUCUAAUGCCUUUUUCAUUGGAUUUGUUUUUUGAUGGUCCUUUCUCCUGCAGACGACUUUCAUCAAUUCUGUUGAUGCUCCGUCACUGGCAUUAUUGGUGCCUAUUGUGCACAGAGGCUUGCGAGAGAGGAGUGUUGACACUAAAAAGAAAGCAGCUCAGAUAACGGGGAACAUGUGUUCAUUAGUUACUGAACCUAAGGAUAUGAUUCCUUACAUAAGCUUGCUACUUCCAGAAGUUAAAAAGGUUUUCCUGUCUCCUCCCAUUCAACCUUUUAUGAUUUUAAACAACAGUUGUCGGCCAAUACCUUUGCACGUCUAUCUAGUAUUUUUUUUUUCAUUAAUAACGAUUGAAACAGGUUCUGGUAGAUCCUAUACCGGAAGUUCGAUCUGUUGCAGCCAGGGCCAUUGGAUCUCUUAUAAGGGGUAUGGGAGAGGAAAAUUUCCCCGAUCUUGUAUCAUGGUUACUAGACACUCUCAAGUCAGAUAGUAGCAACGUUGAACGAUCUGGGGCUGCUCAGGGUUUGAGUGAGGUGCGUUAUGCAUUAAGUUUUCAUAUGAUUUCCCCAAUAGGUUGAUGUUAAUGGCAUUCUUUCUCUUUUCAUCUUUGCUCGUCUACUUUGUAAAGUUGUUACUGCCAAUUUUAUUUCUGUUUUAUUUAAUUUUUGUAGUUCUUGAAAGCAGUUCAUUUUUUCUUCGUUAAAUAUACAACAAUCUUUGGCUGGCCUUUCGGCUGAAAAUUUUGGACAAUUAGUUGCAGAUGACUCCUUAUCAUCCUCUAAUUUUUAGUCCGAGCUUGCUUUACGGUUCCUGUUUUGGUGGUCAUUUUGGCCACUCUUUUUUCUUCACUCUUUUAGGUUUCUGGUUUAAAACGGAAAUGCCGUAUUUUUUCCUUUUUAAUCAGGCAUUUUGCAUCUUCAUUAACUUCUCCAUGUUUCAGGUUUUAGCGGCCCUUGGCAAGGAUUAUUUUGAAAGACUUCUUCCCGAUAUUAUCAGAAAUUGUUCCCACCAAAAGGCUUCAGUCCGUGAUGGGUACCUAACACUUUUUAAGGUCAGAUAAUCCAUCUACAUUGCAUUCUGAUUUCUCAAUUUUUUGAACCAUGUUUAACAGAAUUAUGUGUGCAGUAUCUUCCAAGGUCAUUAGGAGCCACAUUUCAGAAUUACUUGCAGCAGGUUCUACCUGCUAUACUAGAUGGUAAGUUUAUUCUCUGUAUUUCGUGUAUUUGUUCCCAGUUUUAAUUUUAAUUCUUUCCAGGCCUUGCUGAUGAGAAUGAAUCCGUACGUGAUGCUGCACUUAGUGCUGGUCAUGUCUUUGUGGAACAUUAUGCCAGAACGUAAGAUACUUUCUCUGUGAAAUUUUCUUCUUCAACCUUACUAUUUUGCUGAUUGUUCCUAUACUAUCUGCUAUUGUAAUUUCCAAUCAGGUCUUUGCCGCUGCUUCUUCCAGCCAUAGAGGAUGGAAUUUUCAAUGACAACUGGCGUAUUCGGCAAAGCUCUGUUGAGCUUUUGGGUGACCUUCUUUUCAAGGUUCACGAAUUUCUCAUUGACUCAAGAAUGUAGUCUCUUUUAGAGAUUCUUGCUUCAAUUCUCCUAGUAAUGUCUCUGUAGGUCGCUGGAACUUCUGGCAAAGCAAUUCUUGAGGGUGGCAGUGAUGAUGAAGGUUCAAGUACUGAAGCUCAUGGUCGAGCUAUUAUUGAAGUACUUGGUAGGAAUAAGCGUAAUGAAGUUCUUGCUGCAGUUUAUAUGAUUCGAAGUGAUGUUAGUUUAUCUGUUCGGCAGGUAUUUAUGCAUCUUUUUCCCACAUUGAAAUUGUUGAUCUCUUAGUUGAUUUUUCCGAUUAUGAAGUCAUUUACCUUGUCAUCAGGCUGCAUUGCAUGUGUGGAAGACUAUUGUGGCAAAUACACCGAAGACUCUAAAGGAAAUCAUGCCUGUUCUAAUGAACACCCUCAUUUCUUCUCUAGCUUCCUCGUCUUUGGAGCGUCGCCAGGUUUUAAUCUUUUUUUUUAAUUAAUGAUCAUUUAGUUUGCAUAUGCAUGGCCAUUGUGAUGUGAAAUUUUAAUUGCUCCAUUUUUAUAUUCUCUUUUAGGUUGCUGGAAGGUCACUUGGAGAACUUGUUAGAAAGCUUGGGGAAAGAGUUCUGCCUUCGAUUAUCCCUAUUUUGUCACGAGGCCUGAAAGACUCUGAUGCUGGUAGAAGACAGGUGACUGCAUCUUUAUUUUGUUCUCAUCUGAUUAUUGCUCAAAUAUCAUCAGAAAAAAACCAUAUCUAUAUCCCUCUUGUUAACUUUGGAAAAAUAUUUAUUUCCCCUUUUUCUCCCAUGUUCCCUAUAACCAUGAUGUCUCAUUUAUAGCUUUAGCAUUUAUUGUGCAUGUAUUAUCGCUUUUUUCUCAUGAGAUUCCUCAGUAAUCAAGGCUGUUUUUGUUUAGAUUUUCUUUAGUUUAUACUUAUCAGUACUCUUUAAUGGGGCUCAGAACUCUGUCCUUUAUGUUGUUUGGCUCUUCAUGUAAUUCGAACUACUGCUGCAUGACCCAUUUAACAAUGAAAAGAGCUACUUGCCCUGCCCAUAACCCUGGUUUGUCUGAGGACAUGGGAAAACGAAUCGCCAGAGAUGAAUUUGUUUUUAAUAUGGCUAUUCCUUCGCAAAGCUCACUUAUGAUACAAGAUCCGAGCACACACAGGUGGCAGAUCUUUUUGUUCCUUGUAUGAGCAAUCUGUUCUGCAUUUUUUUUAUAAUGUGAUGGACCAAAAUAUGACCGUUGAGUAUCAUUUAUUGCUCCAUUUGAAAUAUGUGUUAAUCCUUGAGACGUGAGCAGGUCUGGCACCAGGCCCCGCAGGGCUUGUGGUUGGCUGGGGCUGACCUGUGCUCUUUGUGCGCCGAGACUCCUAAAUCGCGGAUUUGUUUUGGAUCAGUAGCACUCUUAAUUAAUCCACGAAAGGCGGCUUGGAAACUGUCAGAUAUUGCCUUUUGAGGUUUUUUGUGUUUUGCAUUGAGUCAAAGAAAUGGCAGACCGGGAACAAAGUUUACGAAAUGUUUUUAUUGUUUCUCUCCGCCUUGUGCUUACUCUUACAUUCUUAAAUGCUUUAAGAUGUUUCUCGUCUAGUUAUUUCAUUGUACAUUAAGAAACGGCGUCUUUUUAAUGCAAUAGGCUCAUUGAUUUUCAUUUACUACAGGGUGUUUGCAUUGGACUUAGUGAGGUCAUGGCCAGUGCUGGUAAACACCAGUUGUUGGGUUUCAUGAGUGAACUGAUACCAACCAUUCGGGUGGCUCUAUGCGAUAGGUUUGUUACUACUUUCAUUGGUCUGGCAACUUGUCAACCUGUAAGGCGUUUUCUUGAUACUUGGAAGGAUGAGACAUUUUCUACUCUUUUCUUUCAACAGUGUGCCUGAGGUUCGCGAGUCUGCUGGUUUAGCUUUCAGCACCCUAUAUAAGGUAUUCUCUCAAGCUCUAAACUUGUUUUGGAAGCUUUCUCUAGUUAUGAGUUACCAUUUUAUUAUUAUAUAAAAUUUUCAGAGUGCUGGCCUGCAAGCAAUUGAUGAAAUAGUUCCCACUCUGCUCCAUGCCUUAGAAGAUGAUGAGACCUCUCAUACAGCUCUUGACGGCCUCAAACAAAUUCUGAGGUCUACUCUUACAAAUGCAAUUUACCAAUAACUCCUGUACCAUAAGCUUUAUAUUGUUUCCUAUGGUUAGAUUUAUCUAUUGUAGGUCCAUGUGGUUUCAGAAUAGGUUGCAAAUGGAACGCUAUCAAUGCUAUUUUUGAGUUCGCUUAUAUUUUUUUGUUUUCUUUUUCAUGCAAUCUUUUCACCUUAAUUGCUCAAGUUCUUCUCUUCAUCAUUUCUUCAGUGUGAGAACCGCUGCUGUCUUGCCACAUAUUUUGCCAAAGCUUGUCAAUUCCCCACUUUCGUGAGUAUAUAUCUCUUUCACUAUUAUGAAAACUAGGUUUAAAAUCUGUGCUUGCCCUUAUGGAGAUCUCUGCACAGUGCUUUCAAUGCCCAUGCUUUAGGAGCCUUGGCAGAGGUUGCGGGACCUGCUCUCAAUUUUCACCUUGGAACAAUGCUUCCACCCCUAGUUAUUGCUAUGGGCGAUGAUGAUAAGGUUAGUCUGUUUUCUAGUACUACAGUUGCGUUGUGUGUUCUUCAUGGUGAUUAUGUGGACAGUUCUGUGUUUCCUUAUUUCUGUUGCCAGCGAUCAGUGUAGUAACAUACUUCGUGUGGAUAUAUUAUGCUGCUUUGAUGGUAUGGCGAUAACGACUUAGUUAUGACGAAACUAGAGUAACAUUAAGUUUUUGUAUUUUGAUCAUAUCCACUUUGCGGUACAGAAAUUCCAUAUAAACAAGACGCUUGUAAAGUUUACAUGUUAGAGAAUAUUUGCAUCAAUAUCUCUGUUAUUAGAUUCAAAACCUUUUGGAGCUUACACGUUUUUCUGUUUAGUUUGAUGAUGAAUUCUUUUUGUUGAAUCCUAGAAUGUGCAACAUUUGGCAAAGAAGGCUGCUGAAACUGUUGUGCUAGUUAUAGAUGAAGAGGGUAUUUCUUCGUUGAUGUCAGAAUUGCUCAAAGGUGUCUCUGAUAAUCAGGUUUUGGUCCACAAAGCUCCCUCAGACUUGCAGAAACUUCUCUUCUUUGUAUGUUCAGAGGUUAACUUGUGCCAUCUCUCUUUGUAGCCUUUGAUGAGGAGAGGUUACGCCUAUCUUAUUGGACACUUCUUCAAGAACAGCAAAUUAGAUUUGGUUGAUGAGGCUCCAAAUAUGAUCUCCACAUUGAUUCCUUUGUUGAGCGACAGUGAUCAAGCUACUAUUUUGGUACAGUUGAAGAAGGUCAUUUCCUCCCAGUUAUUAUCCUUAUUUCGUCUUAACCUUGUAUCUCUUGAGCAGGUUUCCUGGGAAGCUCUAGGGAGAGUUAUUGGUUCUGUUCCUAAAGAAGUCCUUCCGUCGUACAUUAAAUUGGUCCGAGAUGCUGUCUCUACGGCAAGAGACAAGGAGCGGAGGAAAAGAAAGGUAUUUCAGUUUGAUAAUUUCAUAGUUUUCCUGUGGCCCGAUACAUCGUAUUAUUUGUGCAUGUUUUUUUUUGUUUAGAAAUUUUCUCACCGUAUUUCGAAUAAAUUUGUUAUUUACUAUGUAUUCUGAAGGCUCUUGUUCUGGAAUUCUUUUUUACUUUGCCAAUGAAACUGCAGGGAGGAUACGUUCUAAUACCUGGAUUUUGUCUUCCUAAAGCCCUCCAGCCACUGCUUCCUAUAUUCCUUCAGGUGUGGAUUUGGUCUACUGUCAACGUGUUUGGAUCCUUAUUUUUUAAAAUGUCUAUGUACAAUACAUUACGUAUCAUCAGAAUUUGUUGUCAUAUACCAACUGGCUAAUAAUCCUUCAUCGUACUGGUCACGGAAUUAUCAUUAAAUGUUGUGACAUGUGCUUGCUUCACUAUUUAAUUUCGCUCACAUGAAAUUUUCAAUCUGAUAAUGUUCUUUAUUUUCAUUGGUUUCACGGCAUAGUUUGCAUAAUAGUAAGUGUGUCCAUUUACAGUAACUUGGUCUACUCAGCUCCUCAUACGUGAUUCUGGUGUUUAAAAAAUUGGUCUGACUUUCACAGGUCUUCUGUUUUUCGAACUGCCUAUGCUCUAAUCUUCACGGCCGAAUCAUCUAACCUUUGUUGGUGUAUACGCGGAAGGGACACCCUUUUCAUUAACUUGAUUCAAAUAAAGAUUGUGCCAAGUAGCUUGGCAUGCGAGCGAAAUUGUUUUCACAACUCAUAGUGGUCAUUAUUAGAAGAAAAACAGGUCACCAGCAGUAACAAAGUCUUAAUUUCUGGGUACCUUCUCCUUGGACGAAGAAAAAUUUACCUACUGCUUGAUUUCUGGGUGUAUGCAUGGGCUGAGCCAAAUUUCUUUGUGAAUAAGCUUUGGUGAUCUUCAAUCAAAUGGGUUUGCAUUUUCAGCUCAUAGAUUUCCAACUGAGUUUAACUCGAAGAAAUCAAACCUGAACAAGGCUGAUGCGGUUCAACAGAGAACUUGAUGUCUUUUACGCGAAAUAUAAAAAUAAAAAAUAUAUAUAUUCAUCGCAUCAAUCGUGAUAAUUUAAGGACCAAAUGAUUCCAGCUUUAUCAUUCUCAAGCCUGGCUUUUUUAGCUUGCAUAUUUCGGUCCUAACACUGAGCCCCUACCAUAAACUAGCCGAAUCAAGCUGACAUAACAAAUGAUAACCCUACUUGAAUGACAUGGAAAUAUCCCAGCAACUUUUGUUAUUCUUUAACCGAAGUGAAAUUUGGAUAUCAUAAAAUCUCAAGCUGAGUAGUAACUUUUGCUUAUUUUGCUCAUUGAUGGUUGCAUGGCUCAUACAUAUUUCAAGACGUCUUAUAUUUGAAGUGCAAUUUUUUUUUCCUGCAUAGCUCAGCUUAUUGUUCUGGAAUGUUCUUUUUAUAGUGGUUAGUCUGAGGAAAUAAUGACCAGAAGAUGGGAGUGAUUUCCCCAGUCAUGUAGCUGGAUGCUCUUUGUUUACUGCUAAACUUUUUUUUUGUCUGUCUGAAUGUCAGUAAUGACUGAUGUUUGAUGGUGAUGCGCGUUAUGUUUGUAGGGUAUAAUUAGUGGUUCAGCUGAAACUAGAGAACAAGCAGCACAAGGCCUGGGUGAGUUGAUUGAUGUGACUGGUGAACAGACGCUUAAGGAGUUCGUUGUUCCUAUCACCGGGUAUGUAUUCUCCUAUAUUCUGCAAUCGUACAAGUUUGGCCUGACUUGAACAAGAUCUUUUGAUGUCACUCAUGUUCGUGGUAUUUCAGUUGAAUAUGGUCACCAAAGUAACCGAUUUUUAAAUGCAAUUGCACGUUCUCGCUUAUAAUAUAUUCAUAUAUUUACUAUCAUACAUUCGGUAACUUGAAGCCAAAUUUAGUUUGUUCCAUAUAUCACUAUUUUUUGUUGUCUGCCUUGGACUGUAAUGAGGCAUCACAUGCUUGAGCAGAUAAACUAGAGAUCACAUCCAAGAAAGUGUAUCUCUCUGCAUUGUAGAUCUCUGUGACUUAAGAAUAGCGUUGAGAAAUGGGCUUCAGUCAUACUAUUCUUUGCAACCUGUUUCCUUAAACUCUCUUGAAAAGGCUGAAGCUACGGUAUAUAAGAGAGCUGUGAAUCAGUAAAUGGUGAAAAGUACAUGCUAUAUAUCCGAGCAUACUAUUCAGUCAUACUAUCCAUGUUUUAUGUUUCAUUUUGUUUGAUUUAAUGUUUGAGCAAAUCCGUUUGCUCAUCCAUAUAUCCGAGCAAUAACAUAUAAAUAGUUAUAUUUCCGAAAUUAUAGUUCAUUUUUAUUUGUAAAAUUUUAUUAACAAAUAUCAUAUAGAUCAGAUACGUUUUUUGGAUUUUUCUUUUGUUCCUUGAUGCCAGUCUUAGGUGUAAAACAAGUGCAGAACGUUUAAAAAACUUGAUAUCAGUGUUAACAUGCUGCCCCUUUUUUCAAGAGAGCCAGAAUUAACAAUUGUUUAUUUUAUUUUUUCCAAUUUUCUGUCAGACUUGAAGUCAUUAAACGGAUUAGAUAUUUUUUUCUUUAUUGUAUUUAGCCCCAUAUAAAUUUUGGACAUUAUUUUAGUCGUACAUGAAGUAAAUUCGUAUAGAAUGGUUGAUACUAUGUCUCUUUAUUCUAUCUCCUAUCUUACUGUUUAUCGUUUGGUGCAUUUUUAAUCAGUUAACAUUUUUUCUGGUGUGUUGAUCUUUACGUGUUAUCACCAUAUGUGUUGAAUCCACCUGUGCAAGAACCCAUUGUAUUAAAUCCACACUACAACUGCUUCUAGCAUUGACAUGUGCCAGGAAAUGUGCCAGAAUUACAUUUUACUGCUGUUUCGUUUCAGGAAAUGUGAAUACAUAAUUCUUCACUCCUGUAAUGUUCUCGAAAAUAAAAUUUAUGUUUAUUCCCUUAGAUUGGAAGCAAGCUACAAAUCCUCCAUGGGAAAAAAAUUCUCCUAGUCGUGUCUUGGACAGCCUUGAUUUCAUCUUGGUACCUUGGAAUUUUCCCUUGUUCUUUUUUAUUUUGACAAAUUUUCCCCGGGAAGCACUGGAGGUUAAUGGAUUGAAAGCAGACUUACUUUUUGAGAAAUGUUAUCAAAAUCAGGUACGGCCUGCUUUCACAUGAAAUAGUGCAUUUUUUUAGUUGCAACGCUGAGACUAAUUUCGUCCACCACAUCCUAUACCUAGUAUCCUCGUAAAUCUUGACUAAAUCCUACUCUAGAACAGCCCUUUUCUGACGGUCCAGAAUAUUUUGUUCUCUCUCGUCGGUUGUGGUUUUUUGUUGGUAAUAAGCUUGAGGAACCCAGUUUUUGCAUCUCUUAGGCUUCAUGAGCAUUUGAGUUCCCAUCCUUAGCAGACUGAGCCUUACGAAUUGUGCUUAUCGAUGCGGUUUAUCUAUGGAUAAAUCUGUUUAAACUGAUCUCCCUGUAUCUUCUUGGAUCUCAAAGGCGACUGACAAGAAAUGUCUAUUACUCGAAACAUAAAAGCUUGACGUUCAGAGAACUACCUGAGUGUCUCUCUUAGGGUAAAUCUUUUUCUCCAAGUCUCCAUAGUAGGAUAGGCUUUGUUGAAUAUCCAGCUCUAGGCUGUAACUCCAUCGUUCUUUUGUGCUACUGCACGCCGUCCCGCUUCCAUUAGUGAAUUUCCUUCUUUUUAAUCAUGGUAGUACGCAGUAUAAAAAUAGAUAGAGCCUUAGUUGCCAAGCGGGAGGCUAGUUUUCGCCUGGCUUCUACCAGCAGACCUCUAUGGUCUAUUGUACAAGCUUCUUAUUAAACUUUCCAAUCUUGCAGUCUAACAUUGCCGUCCUCUACUUUUAGUCCCAGGGUCUACAUAUCUUUGCACGAGCUGCAUUCAAUGUUUCUUCAAUCUUCUUCUGCGGACAAAUAAAAAGCAACUUUUUAGCUCGUGUACCGUUUGAUCCUGGUCCAUAAAAAUAGACAUACACUUUGGAUUUUAUUAUUCUGGAGAAAAACCCUUCAUUGGAAGGUGUUUCGUUGCGUACCUUUUCACUUUUAACAUUUAGAAAUGAUCAGCUGAACUCAGUGGUGUGGUUGGUAUUACAAGUUUGGUUCUGGAUGCUUUGGUUCUGGAUGCUGUGUCCAAAACUCUUUCAAGGCUAGCUUGGGGUGUUUCGGAGCCCCAGAGUUCACUUGGUCUGUGAUCAGGGUGCUUUGUUAUAAUAAAAAUAUCCGCUGGUCUUAUUAAAAAUAUCUCUAGAGCAACACUAUAUUUGAGCUACUAUCCAUGGUGUUUUUAAUUAAAUGCUGCAAUAUUGUACCCGACAAAGACUCCACGCUGUUCUGCUUCAUCUUCCUAUGUAUUUUCAGGAACUUGCAUAUAUUGAUGAUUUUUAACUAUUAUACUUCCUGAAAUGGUCAUCUACAUGCCAUGUGACUAAAAUUAUCCCACGUGACCACUGCUUACUCAACGUAAUCUGAACCGUAGGCAUUAUUUUUUUAUUUAUAAAAAAACGCUUUAAGUUUGAGUACUGCCAGGAUCCUCUGAAUAAACUCUGAACUUUUCUGAUGUCUCUGGGCUGAAAAAAUUGGCGGUUGCUGUCGUUGAUCGAUGCUGUUUCUUGCAGCCCUCUCAUUCGUAUCAUAGGAGAUAGAUUCCCUUGGCAAGUCAAAGAGGCCAUUCUAUCAACCUUAUCUAUCAUCAUCAGCAAGGGCGGAAUAGCGCUUAAACCUUUUCUUCCGCAGCUUCAAACUACAUUCAUUAAAUGCCUCCAGGAUAAUGCAAGGUUCUCUCACUUAUUUAUUGGCUCUCAGUCUCCAUUUCAGUUUUUUUUUCUCCCAGUCGUGCUAAUUUUUAGUAUGCAGGUCGGUUCGAUCAAGUUCAGCCCUUGCUCUUGCAAAGCUUAGUGCUCUUAGCACCCGGAUCGACCCGUUGGUCACGGACCUCUUAUCUGCUUUGCAGGUAAUUCUUUUGAACAUGCCACAUCAUUAAAUGCAAUUUUCUAUAUUUAGAAAUAAAUUCUGAGUGCAAAUGGUGUUCAGGCAUCUGACGUUAGUAUCCAAGGCGCUGUAUUGGCGGCCCUCAAAGGUGUUAUAAGGCAUGCUGGAAAGAGCGUCAGCAACAGCGUCAAAUCCCGCGCAUGCCUCCUCGUCAAAGAUUUUAUACAACUCGAUGAUGAAGAGCUGCGCAGCUCUGCUGCCAAAGCCCUGGGGGCCAUUUCCAAAGUAUUUAAAUUUUUCUUAAUUUUGUCAUUAUACCUUCCGAUGAUCCGUAGAACCCUAGUUCUAAAAUAGCAGAGAAAUCCAACCCGUGGUCUAUUUAUUCCCUUUUUUUUCUGGUUUCAUUUUUAUUUUUCCCUUGCAGUACUUGGAAGACCAUGAAGUAUCGGACAUGAUGGGAAGUCUAUCAAGCCUCAGUUCGUCUGCAAACUGGUCGGUCAGGCAUGGAUCGGUGCUGACUCUCGCAUCCAUGUCCUUGAACAACCCGUCAGCGAUGUGCCUCUCUGCAACAUUCCCAUCAGUCGUCAGUCGCCUUAAAGUGGCCUUGAAGGACGACAAGGUGCGGCGAAGCUACCGUCCAAUCUCUUUAUGAAUUAUCCCUUUGAUUGCGGUGGGUUCGAGAUCUAAUUAUCACGUCUCAUGGUGAUCCUCUUGCAGUUUCCCAUUCGAGAAGCCGCCACGAGAGCGCUGGGGAGCCUCUUGCUGCACCUCGUGCAGAAUGAGAAAUCUGCGCCCGGCCCCUCGGAGCUGCUCCAGCUCCUUCCAUCGGCCAUGCAGGACGAAUCGAGCGAAGUCAGGCGGAGAGCGCUGUCUUGUUUGAAAGGAAUCGCCAAGGUCAACACUCUCACAUCACUUCCCUGUUCGACUCAAGAACACCAUCCCAGCUGACCGGUCGUCGGAAUUGGCAGGCGAAUCCUUCGGCCGUCCUGAACAGCCUCGCCAUUCUCGGACCGGCGCUCGCAGACUGCUUGAAAGAUGGGAACACCCCUGUUCGCCUUGCAGCCGAGCGCUGCGCCCUGCAUGCCUUCCAGCUGACCAAAGGUACUACAAAGCUGUCGCAUAUAGAUGGUUAUUUUCCUUUCACGGUACUUCUUAUCCUGGGCCCCCCAUUAUUUCUGGAAAAACCCAGAUGGGCAACCGGCGCCAUUAGGGUUCUUACACCUCCGCUGAUCCAUGUGGCAGGUGCAGAGAGGAUCCAGGCCGCCCAGAAAUACAUCACUGGCUUGGAUGCCAGGAGGCUGUCGAAGCUCCCUGAGAACAGGUAUCGUUGCCGAUUCACCGCUCUAAAUUAUACAUCUCAGAGGGGGGAAAAUAGAAACUUUUGUGAAUAAUGGGGUUCUGGAUAAGCCCCGAUCUGGUCCCUAGAAGGAAUAAUAACCUUCACACCCUUCUCUUGCAGCGACGACAGCGAGGACAGUGAGGAUGAGAAAAUCGGCGGCUGAUCUACGGCGUUGAAGCUUGCCCAUUUUGAACCUGAAGACCAGUAAUGUGAGAGAGAGAGAGAGAGAGAGAGGGCAUUUCUUUUUUUAGAGAUUUUUGAAGGGCAGUGUGCAACUUGUGGACCUAAACAUGGGUUAUUUUUUAAUUAUGCGAUAUUUUUUCAUAAUCGAAUAAUAAAAUUAAUUGGGGAUGUAGCUCAAAUGGUAGAGCGCUCGCUUUGCAUGCGAGAGGCACGGGGUUCGAUCCCCCGCAUCUCCAAUCAUAUCGGAUCAGCCGAUCAUCAUCUUAUGAAAUAAUGAUGCUCGCUUCGCCUUGCUCUCUUUUUGCUCCCUCUACAGGAAAACGAUCGAGUCUAAAUGGGCCGGCCCACCAUCGACGUGGGCCGGGCCGAUGUCGGUCACAUUAAGCUAAAUUAAGUAAUCAGCGUCGCAUUCAUCCUCUGCCGCAGUUGUUCGAACAGUCCCUGUGGGCUCCCGCCGGGUGCAGCUAACGUGGACGCCUCGUCGUUUCCAACAGAGAGAGGACGGCUCACGGCUCUCGCACGUGUGGCUCAACGCUGUGCUGGUCAGCUGGCUGUGCUUGCACGCGCCCCCCCAUCCAACGGACCACAGCGUCUCUCUCUCUCUCGCUAACGACGUAUGAGCCGUCGACAUCGGUGACAAUGGGAGCGACGACAAGAUCGCCAUUCCCCUAAGCUCCAAACAUGAGAGAAUAUUAGAUGGGGGAGCUUCUUUGUCUAAGGCGGGGGAAGGCUAACGAGUCAGCACCCACCGAGACGUUGACCACAAAGGUUAAUUCGACGUCACAUCCCCCUUUCAUGCUGACUCGGAAGAUCAUAGGAUCUCUUCAUUCCUCAUUCCUCAUUCCUCUCUCUCUCUCUCUCUCUCUCUCUCGACUGCGAUGGUUGCAUUAAUGAAGGCCGAUCACCUGGUGACAGAGCAUCUUCAGGGUUAUCGUCAUCAGGAUCGGAGCCACACGGGGAGCUGGAAGGCACUCCUCCUCUGGGGAAGAAAGGUGUCGAUUUCUGGUGAAUUUGGUGUUUGCAGAGCGCAGUACGAUGCGGAGUAGAAGGCGGCAGCUGUUGCCACCUGGGUGCGCACUGCUUGGCAAGGCUCGGUAAAACCCUAGAAGACGGCCCCCCCCCUCUCCGUGCUCCCCACCUUCGUUGGCCCUUUCUCUCUCCUCUUCUCUGCCCCCACGUGUCGGGGGCCGCAGCAGAAGCCGAAAGAAGGGAGUGAUCGUGGAGGUUGAGAGAGAGAGAGAGAGAGAGAGAGAGAGNNNNNNNNNNNNNNNNNNNNNNNNNNNNNNNNNNNNNNNNNNNNNNNNNNNNNNNNNNNNNNNNNNNNNNNNNNNNNNNNNNNNNNNNNNNNNNNNNNNNNNNNNNNNNNNNNNNNNNNNNNNNNNNNNNNNNNNNNNNNNNNNNNNNNNNNNNNNNNNNNNNNNNNNNNNNNNNNNNNNNNNNNNNNNNNNNNNNNNNNNNNNNNNNNNNNNNNNNNNNNNNNNNNNNNNNNNNNNNNNNNNNNNNNNNNNNNNNNNNNNNNNNNNNNNNNNNNNNNNNNNNNNNNNNNNNNNNNNNNNNNNNNNNNNNNNNNNNNNNNNNNNNNNNNNNNNNNNNNNNNNNNNNNNNNNNNNNNNNNNNNNNNNNNNNNNNNNNNNNNNNNNNNNNNNNNNNNNNNNNNNNNNNNNNNNNNNNNNNNNNNNNNNNNNNNNNNNNNNNNNNNNNNNNNNNNNNNNNNNNNNNNNNNNNNNNNNNNNNNNNNNNNNNNNNNNNNNNNNNNNNNNNNNNNNNNNNNNNNNNNNNNNNNNNNNNNNNNNNNNNNNNNNNNNNNNNNNNNNNNNNNNNNNNNNNNNNNNNNNNNGAGAGAGAGAGAGAGAGAGAGAGAGAGNGUGUCGGUGGGAGGGGGGGGGGAGGGGAGAGGAAGGCCGGAGCGAAAGGUUAGCCGCAGGCGAGCAGGAUUGCUUGCUCUCUGCGGCUGCUCACGGCGCCGCCGCCGCCGCUCUACUCUCUCGCGCUCCGGCUGCUCCUCCCCAGUGCCCUCACCCUGCCGCGUUUCUCUCUCUACACGCCGCUACGUUUGUUUAGGGAGGAUCCGCGUCGGCUUGCAUGCGGAUCGACAGCAAAUGGAGAAGGGCCAAACUAAUAUAAGUAAUAUUGGGUUUUUCUUUUUCAUGCUGGCCACACCCUCUUGUCAUCUUCCUCCCCCAAGCUUUGCCCUCCUCGCUCCCUUCUUCAGAUGAGGACACAGAACCCUCUCUUGUUUUGAUCCGCAUUGCUGUAGGUUCCCGUCGCCUGUUUCCCGUCUGCAAUCUGUCCCGGCUGCCCCGCCCCCUCUCGAUUCUUCUCCCCGGGGCACCAGCUUGAUGGUGAGAUGCCCGUAGCGGGGGAUACAGCCACAGAGUCUCCCGCCGCCGCCGUCAUCUCCCCGUCGUCCUGCUCCCUCAGCCGCGCGGCGGCUAUCCCCGCAGGAUCCGGUCGCCUCCGGCGAUGGCCCCUCUCCCACUUGACCUCCCGUUAUGGGAGCAGGUCGCGGUGUUCGUCCACUCGGCUCUGCUCCUCCUCGUCCUCCUCCUCGCCGUUUUCCGGUGGGCCAUCUCGUGUCUGGUGGGGCGGCGCGCCCCGGCGGCUCACAAGGAAGAGCGAGGGAAUCCGAUUCCGGCCAGUGGCGCCUUGGGAGCCGCCGGCCCCAUCGCUUCUGGUAAACUGUUCAUGUCAUCUGUCUCCUGCUGCUGCUACCUCCUCCUUCUCCAGGUGAUUGUUCUAGUUUGGGAGGCCGCAGGAUUAUCCAGAACGGAUGCCGAUUCUAGAAAUUAUUCCACUGUUUACUUGCCGUCAGUCCAGGCAUUGGCCUGGCUGGUCCUCAGUUUGGCGGCGCUCCGCUGCAGGUUCAGAUUAGCGGAGAAAUUCCCCUUCAUGGCGAGGGCAUGGUGGUUCUCCUCCUCCCUCCUCUGUCUCUACUCCGUGUUCCUCGAGACCAUAGGCCUCAUUCAGGGGUCUCUCGUUUUCAACUCCCACAUGGCGGCCAACUACGCGGCCAUUCCUGCUCUCGCUUUCCUCUGCUUGGUCGCCCUCCGCGGGUCGACGGGCAUCGACCGUCCUUCCGGCGGCUCUGACCUCCGGCGGCCCCUUCUCUCCGACGACGACGAGGCCGGUUGCCUCAGGGUCACCCCCUACAGUGAAGCGGGGAUUCUCAGUCUCGUCACCCUCUCGUGGCUCAACCCCCUCCUGUCGAUUGGGGCGGAGCGGCCCCUGGAGCUGAAGGACAUCCCUUUGCUGGCGCCCAAAGAUCGCGCCAAGGCCUCCUACAAGCUGCUGAGCCACCACUGGGAGAGAUUCAAGGCGGAGAGCCCUUCGAAGCCGCCUUCUCUCACCUGGGCGCUCUUCCGGUCCUUCUGGAAAGAAGCGGCCAUCAACGCCAUCUUCGCCGGCCUGAACACCCUCGUCUCCUACGUGGGUCCGUUCCUGAUCAGCUACUUCGUCGACUACCUGGGGGGGAACAUCAUCUUCCCCCACGAGGGCUACCUUCUGGCCGGGGUCUUCUUCUCCGCGAAGCUCAUCGAGACGCUGACGACGCGCCAGUGGUACCUCGGAGUCGACAUUCUGGGCAUGCAUGUAAGGUCGGCCCUCACGGCCAUGGUGUACCAGAAGGGCCUCAGGCUGUCGAGCACGGCCCGCCAGAGCCACACGAGCGGCGAGAUUGUGAACUACAUGGCCGUCGACGUCCAGCGAGUGGGAGACUACUCGUGGUAUCUGCACGACAUAUGGAUGCUGCCUAUGCAGAUCGUUCUGGCUCUGGCGAUUCUGUACAAGAAUGUGGGGAUCGCCUUCAUUGCAACUCUGAUCGCCACCGUAGUCUCCAUUGUUGUGACCAUCCCUCUGGCGAAGAUGCAAGAGGAGUACCAGGACAACCUGAUGACGGCCAAGGACGAUAGGAUGAGGAAGACCUCCGAGUGCCUGAGGAACAUGAGGAUCCUCAAGCUCCAGGCCUGGGAAGACAGGUACAGGCUGAAGCUGGAGGAGAUGAGGAACGUGGAGUUCAAAUGGUUGAGGAAGGCCCUCUACUCGCAGGCCGUGAUAACCUUCAUCUUCUGGGGCUCGCCCAUAUUUGUCUCGGUCAUCACCUUCGGUACCUCCAUCCUCCUGGGCGGUCAGCUCACGGCGGGCGGCGUCCUCUCCGCCCUGGCCACCUUCAGGAUCCUGCAAGAGCCCCUCAGGAACUUUCCCGACCUCGUCUCCAUGAUCGCCCAGACAAGGGUAUCCGUGGACAGGAUAUCAGGCUUUCUGCUGGAGGAGGAGCUGCAAGAAGACGCCACUGUGCUCGUCCCUCCGAGCUCAACUGACAUUGCUGUGGAAAUCAAAGAUGGGGAAUUUCGCUGGGACCCUUCUUCUGCAAGGCCCACCCUUUCGGGCAUACAGCUGAGCGUGGAGAGGGGAAUGCGGGUCGCCAUCUGUGGCGUGGUUGGAUCGGGGAAGUCGAGUUUCCUUUCCUGUAUUCUUGGAGAGAUACCCAAAAUCUCAGGUGAAGUAAGUAAACUCAACUCUUAACCUGCAACUUUAUUCUAUUUUUAUAAAUUCUUCGUGCUCUCUUCCUUUUCUCCUCUGACUUCCCCUUCUCUCUUCAGGUCAAAAUCAGCGGCUCUGCAGCUUAUGUCUCUCAGUCUGCUUGGAUACAGUCUGGGAAUAUUGAAGAGAAUAUCCUCUUUGGGAGCCCAAUGAAUAAGCCAAAAUACAAGAACGUCAUCCACGCUUGCUCACUGAAGAAGGACUUGGAGCUGCUCUUGCAUGGGGACAAGACAAUAAUUGGUGACAGGGGUAUUAAUUUAAGUGGCGGCCAGAAACAGAGGGUGCAGCUGGCCAGAGCGCUCUAUCAGGAUGCCGACAUUUAUCUACUGGAUGACCCGUUUAGUGCAGUGGAUGCACACACUGGGAGUGAAUUAUUUAAGGUCAACGCCAUGCCCUGUCAUCUUAUGUCAUUAUUUUUGGGGAUUUUUUUUCGAGUAUGGCAAAUCUCAGCCCUCUGUUUUGGUUUUUGCAGGAAUACAUAUUGACGGCGUUGGCCAGUAAAACCGUGAUUUUUGUGACUCAUCAAGUUGAGUUCUUGCCGUCUGCAGACCUGAUACUUGUAUGUAGCUCGUCCACUUGACUCUUCUAUACCCCUCCUUUCUGAUUCUGAGAGAUCUGAAAAUUAACGUGUGCAUUAGUUUCACACGCUGUUGAGCUCUCCCUGUAUUUAGCAGUCUACGUUAUAAAAUUCCUUCCAUUUAAAGAGAAAGAUGCCAUGAGUUAAUAUAAUGAUGCGAGUGGCCUCCCAGUUUUAACCCUUGGAAAUGGUAACCCAGGAACCAGGGGACGCACGGAUAGCCCAUUCACAUUUAGCAGGAUAUUGGAGAGGUAACGUCGGCUAUUCACAUCUAAAUAUAUAUGGGUUCUUGACGCUCUGUGCUAUGGAGAGAUCAAAGGGAUAAAGUCAAGAAAAUGUGGGCUCUGUGCUCUGCAUCGUUAGGGAUUUAUAAUCAUCCAACCAUUUCGAUUCCACUUAUAGGUUGAGGAUAAUAAUGUCAGAUAUUGGGAAUUAUAUUAAGAUCUCCCCUCUUCUUUUAAUAUGCCUAUUCUUUGCUGUGCCGUGAUAUAUUUCUUUGCCUUAUGUGAGAGGAACAAUGACGGCUAAAAUGAGUUUAUUUGAGCUUUUUUAGUAAAAUAAUUCAAUCUACUUCCAGCAAUCUGUGGGAUGGGUUCUUUGCUUAAAAGGGUUGCUAUGACUGGAUGAUCAUAGCUUAUUCUUCUGUUAUACGAUGGUGAUCACUGGGACAUGGAGGUACCCAUUCAUUGGGAAUCUGAAGACAUGAAGCUUUUUGGCAAGGGCACCUUUUGAGUGUUCCCAAGGUCUUUUGGCCUGGAAUAACCUUCGUUGCCUUUCGCUUGGCUGCAGGUCCUCAAAGAUGGCCAAGUAAUACAGGCCGGAAAAUAUGAAGAUCUUUUACAGGCUGGGACUGAUUUCAAUGCUCUGGUUUCAGCCCAUCAUGAAGCUAUUGAGGCCAUGGACAUUCACGAGGGCUCACUUGAAGAUUCAGUAGGGGCCGCUCCGGAAAGCUCCUUCCCCUCGAGGAAGAGAUUGGAGUCCAACAUCAGCAGCCUCGACAAUAUGAACAAGGAAACCAGAGAAAAUGGCUCUUCAUCGGAGAAGAAGGUGAUAAAAGAGAAGAAGAAGGCCAAAGGCUCUCGUAAGAAGCAACUUGUUCAAGAAGAAGAGCGGGAGAGGGGGAAAAUUAGCUUGACAGUGUAUCUCUCCUACAUGGCUGCAGCAUAUAAGGGGGCUUUGAUACCAUUGAUUGUCCUUGCCCAGGCAAUGUUUCAGAUGCUUCAGAUAGCAAGCAACUGGUGGAUGGCCUGGGCGAAUCCACAGACCUCUGGCGACUCACCAAAGACCAGUAGCAUGGUUCUUCUUCUUGUUUACAUGAUCCUGGCAUUCGGGAGCUCGUGCUUUGUGUUCAUUCGAGCUGUCCUGGUCGCUACUUUCGGCUUGGCAGCCGCACAGAAGCUGUUCUUGAAGAUGCUGAGGAACAUCUUCCGGGCUCCCAUGUCUUUCUUCGAUUCGACUCCUUCUGGGCGGAUACUAAAUCGGGUAAGCUACGCUUAUCACCAUAGCACGAAUCUCUUGACCAUUUACAGCAUGAGAUUAAACAAUGGGACGCUUAUUAUCGUUUUCCGUCUUAUGUAUAUGAGAUGAUCAGGUGUCUGUGGAUCAGAGUGUUGUGGAUCUCGAUAUUCCUUUCAGACUUGGUGGGUUUGCUUCAACAACCAUUCAACUUCUUGGUAUAGUUGGUGUGAUGUCGAAGGUCACAUGGCAAGUGCUGCUCCUGUUCUUCCCCAUGGCUAUUGCUUGCUGGUGGAUGCAGGUAAUAAACCGCAUCGCUCACUUGCUGUGGAGUCAUCUUAUGUCAGCUAAGCCUUUAAUUACUGCUAUUAUCUGCUUAAGUGCAUGCUUUGUAGAAGCCCCACUGAAUCAUCCAACGCCAUUUUGUUAUAUUAUUCUGUUCCUCUGGUAAAAGGAAAUAUGGGGUUAACCCUCAUGAUCUUACAUCUAGUUGAAUCAAUCUGUGAAUAAUUUAUGAUUUCUAGAGUUGGAAAAAUAUCCUAAGCAACAGUCAACAGUGAUCUGCUAACCUAUGGUGAUGAUGUCAAGAACAGUCGUUGAGGUGUGGUCAGUGACCAAUCAUCAGGUCGAGAUGACUUGAUGAAGAAUCUUAUCUAGCUGAUUCGGAUCCAGCAAUGGUCUAAAUAUUGUGCUCAAGAUUAUGAGAGACUUAUGAACAAGCAAAGAUUAGGCGUUUGGCCUGAAGACCGAGGCUCCUUUUGUAUUUAUUUUUUUUACUUUUAUAUUUUUAUUUGUUCUUUCCUUUUUUUGCACUUGCGCCAUUUAAUAUAUAUACUAUUCCUAUAUCAUUGAAUGGGGUUUGCUCAUUACCGAGUUGUCUUGGUGAUGGAAUUUGAGAAUGCUUUAUGAGGAAAUUAUUCAAUCUCUACGCUUUGUGCAGAAGUACUACAUGGCUUCAUCGAGGGAGCUUGUGCGCAUUGUCAGCAUCCAGAAAUCCCCCAUUAUUCACCUGUUUGGAGAGUCCAUUGCGGGAGCAGCUACCAUCAGAGGCUUUGGCCAGGAGAAGCGGUUCAUGAAGAGGAAUCUCUAUCUGCUCGACUGCUUUGCCCGCCCCUUCUUCUGCAGCCUUGCCGCCAUUGAGUGGCUCUGUCUCCGCAUGGAGCUGCUCUCAACCGUUGUGUUCGCCUUCUGCAUGGCCAUCCUGGUUAGCUUCCCCCACGGAACCAUUGACCCAAGUAGGUACUGCAUGACCUUCUUGUUCAUCCGGUUUAGUCAUAUUUCUAAUUUUGUUUUUAAUGUUUUUUCUACUCUGGGAAGUUCGGGUUCAUGCUUCAAGCAGGAUUAGGAGAGUAAUCUCUCAAGUCAAAUGAAUGCAUGGGCGUUUUCUGCUCAUCGACUGCUGUAUUAGAGUGAGAUUAUUGGAAAAUAAUGCAUGAUUUCUUGAGUUGUAAACAUGGCUGUUGAAAGUUAUAAGUUGUAAGGAAAUAGUGUAAAGAUUGAGGGACUUUGAGAAAAAUGUCCAGAGUUACUCCCGUUAUAAAUGACAUUAGAGGGGAAUAAAUAUUAAGACGGUUGUUGUUGUUCUUCCCUCUGUCCUCCACAACAUAGGUCAUUUCUCUCACUUCAUGUGUACCUCUGAUUUUCAACAUGCUAUCAGAACGAAUCACUCUUUUUCUUCCUUUCCCAUUGAUCGAUUUCUCUACAAUUAUAGUUUUUGAACUGUCCUUUCUUCAUCUCUAUAGAGAUUUGCUGACGAGAUAUCAAAUUUAUUGAUUAUAGUCACUUUCUUGAAGUAUUCUCUUGGCAUUAGGGUUCUUGUACCGUUUUUUCAUUAUCUUUAUUGAAAUCUGUUGACGAAACAUUAGUUAUUGUGAAUUCAGUCGUUUUCUUGAUAAGUCAAAUGUGGAAGAUAUUUCUUCUUCUUCAGAAGAUCUUUCUUUCAUGAAGGACUUUAACCCUAGCCUCAAUCCUCUAAGACUUCUAUCAGAGCAGAGGUUCAACCCUAACAUCGUCAUUUCUACUGCCAUCGCCACCAUCUUCUAAGGUAUUCGGCGACAAGGAAAGUAAUCGAUCGAGGGAGAUCGCAACAUCGGGCCAUACUUUGGCAACCCUUGAAGUCAUGAGGCUGUCUUACCAUUACUUCUGCCUCUGCCACCAGUUCAAUGCCGCCACCAGCCUACCACCUUUGUAGACGGUGUCGUCUAUCUAGCGCUGCCUUUACUGCUGCCGCAACCAUAGCUGCAGCUGUCUCCCCCUAACAAUCUUCCACUCUAGGACUUCACCCCUUCUUUGCUGCUGUAACAGGUCGUUGCUGUCAUUGAUGACAUCUUCCACUAGUGCUCUGGCAUCAUUUCUUAGCACCUUUGUUUUCCCUGGUGAGAUCUUCCAUCUGUGCCUAUCUUUAUCAGACUUCAUGUCAUGUUGUCUUUGCUGUCAUUGUUGUUGUCCUCUGGUGGCAGCAGCUCUCCUGCCAUUUAUUGGCACAUUAUCCUACCAUUUUGAACAGUUUUUUUCUUUGACCAUUUAGCAUGGUCUCUUCUUCUGUCAAUCUUACUCUAAGGACGACGAGUUUUCUUCUUCUUGCAACUAUAUGACCCUUAAUUCCUCUAUUUGGCCUAAUUUCUCCUCAAGAAGAUUGAGAGCACAGCAUUUUCUGGCUGAGGAUAGGGUGUCUCUUGCAACUGUAUGACCUUAAUUCCUCUAUUUGGCCUCUUUUCUCCUAGAGAGGAUUGAGAGCACAUCAUUUGCUGGCUGAGGAUAGGGUGUAUCUUGCAGCUGUAUGACCCUUAAUUCCUCUACUUAACCUCAUUUCUCCUGGAGAGCAUUGAGAGCACAGCAUUUUCUGGCUGAGGAUAGGGUGUCUCUUGCAGUUUUAUGACCCUUAAUUCCUCUAUUUGACCUCAUUUCUCCUAAAGAAGAUUGAGAGCACAUCAUUUGCUGGCUAAGGAUAGAGUGUCUUUUUCUAUUACAUGACCGUUAAUACCUCUAUUUGGCCUCAUUCCUCUUAGGGAAGAUUGAGAGCACAACAUUUACUGGUGUUUUUCUUAUUAGUUGACUUCGACUUUCUAGUAUCACUGGCAUAUUCAUCACUAAAGAAUCAUUUCAUUGUGUUCCUCACUGUUUUUCUUCAAUUUAGUGUUAUCCACAAUACAGUAUUUUUCGUCUGUCAUCUUAGUGAACAGUCCUCAAAAUUUUUCCUGCCCUCUAUCCUAUAUUCAUAUAACAUCAUUUCCUCAGUCCAAGGAUUAUAGUAUCCCACAAUCUGCAUUCCUUUGUAUCAUGCCAAGAUUAUCAAGUGCCAUCCAAUCUUUGUCAAAGAUCAGCAAAGAAAUUCUUCAACAUCAAGACAAUGGGAAUCUUAACAAAGGAGCUACCACAACAGAUCAUAAAUGGCAUACUCGUCAAAGAAUUAAUCAAGAUGAACUUUUCUGGAGUUCAUCUUAAAAGGAAGUGUGAGAAGUUCUAAGUUGUAAGAAAAUAUUGUAACAAUUGAUGGACUUUGAGAAAAAUGUCUAAGGUUACUCCCUAUAUAAACGACACUAGAGAGGAAUAAAUCUUGAGACGGUUGCUGCCAUUCUUCUCUCUAUCCUCCACGGUAGAGGUCAUUUCUCUCCUUUCAUGUGUUCUAUUGUGUACCUAUGAUUUUCAAUAAUGGCUUUAGAGAGAGAAAGGAGGACGAAUAAAAUAACUGGUCUACUCGACUUAUUUCCAUUUUUUUUUCGAUCAGCCCGAUUUUACAUCCUUGAUGCUCAAAAUUUCUCUCUUCACCAGGAUCAGGCAUCGGAACCGUGGGCCUUUUCUGCUCAUUGGCCCUUGAUUUCCAGUGGGUCUAUCCUACUUUUCUCCCAUCUUUUUUCAAUAAUGGGAGUGAUGAUGGAAGUGAUGAUUGGUACCCUGGUGCUCAGAUUUCUCCCUUUAAUGGCUGAUUUCCCUCCUUGGAUGGCAGGCAUGGCGGGCCUUGCUGUAACCUAUGGCCUAAACCUGAAUGCACGGCUGUCGAGGUGGAUAUUGAGCUUCUGCAAGCUCGAGAACAAGAUCAUUUCAAUCGAGCGCAUCCAUCAGUACUGCCAGAUACCUGGGGAAGCUCCUGGAGUCAUUGAGGGCACUCGGCCCCCGCCGUCUUGGCCCGAGAAUGGAAAGAUCGAGCUGGUUAAUCUCAAGGCGAGUCGUCCCCUUCAUCCCGUCCUCUAUUAUCAGUGUACAAAAAUAGCCAUGUUUGAAGCUUUCAUUCGUGCUUGAAUGGCGCCACCGCAGGUCCGCUACAAGGAGAACCUGCCCUUCGUCCUCCACGGCGUGACCUGCACAUUCCCGGGGGGGAAGAAGAUCGGGAUCGUGGGUCGCACGGGCAGCGGCAAGUCAACUCUGAUCCAGGCUCUGUUCCGUCUGAUCGAGCCCUCGGAGGGGAAGAUCGUGAUAGACGGCGUGGACAUCUCCACCAUCGGCCUCCACGACCUCCGGGGGCAUCUCAGCAUCAUCCCCCAGGACCCCACCCUGUUCGAGGGCACCAUUAGAGGAAACCUGGACCCGCUUGAGGAGCACUCUGACGGAGAAAUCUGGCAGGUAGAUUACUGCGAUCAAUCUCCGAAUCCCCUUCUCUUCUGAUGGCCGGUUCUGAGGAAAAUCGUUCUGGGUUCUCUCUCCAGGCGCUCGACAAAUCCCAGCUGGGAGAGGUGAUCCGUGAGAAGGAUCAGAAGCUCGACACUCCCGGUAAUGAAUUUUAUUUCCUCUUCUGGGCAGUAAGAAUCCGAGCCUGUUCUUCCUAAAGCUGCUGCCUUUUUCCGCGUUCUAAUCGCUGCGGGUCUGCCCCCGUGCCGCAGUGUUGGAGAACGGAGAUAACUGGAGCGUGGGGCAGAGGCAGCUCGUCUCCCUGGGGAGGGCGCUGCUGAAACAGGCGCGGAUCCUGGUGCUGGACGAGGCGACGGCGUCGGUCGACACGGCCACGGACAACCUCAUCCAGAAGAUCAUCCGGAUGGAAUUCAGGGACUGCACCGUCUGCACCAUAGCCCACCUCAUCCCCACCGUCAUAGACAGCGAUCUGGUGCUCGUUCUCAGCGAUGGUGAGCUCCCCAUCUCGGCCGGCGGCCAUGUCCCCCCCACCCCCCCCCCACUUGAAAUGACUCCGGAAUCGCCGCUCUGCGCAGGGAGGAUCGCGGAGUUCGACAGCCCGCUGCGGCUGCUGGAGGACAAGUCCUCCAUGUUCCUGAAGCUCGUCGCAGAGUACUCCACGAGGUCGAGUAGCCUGCCGGACGCUUGAGCUCUUCUCCGGCGGAGGGCCCGGCGUGGCGCUUGGACUCCAUGCAGAUGAAUCUGGUGAUCCCGCAGGCGGGGGAAGAGGAUGUGUGGGGGCGGCGGCGGCGAACCUCAGUGAGCGAGUGUGAGAUGGGGGAGUUGAGCUUCCUGGGUUCACACGUCGCGAGAAGAACUUGUCUGUAAGAGAGGGCAGGAAGACGGAGCACGUCGACCGGCGGAACUAGUAGUCUGUAAGAGCUCGCUCUGAAAAUAAGGCGACGGGUGCAAUUUUUCUCCCAGCCCUCGAUAUCUUCUCUGCCCCUGUAAUGCGCUCUCUCUCUCUCUCUCUCUCUCUCUCUCUCUCUCUCUCUCUCUCUCUCUCUCCCUCUCUGCUCCUGGAAUGCAUUCUACGAUACAAUGGCAUGGUCUAAGUCAUGGUCCGGCUCGGCUUUCCUCCCCCUUCCCAGUCCCCAUCGGAGAUGGGGCCGUGAGGAAAUGAUUGUGAGAGUGCAUUCUGCAGCCGCAGGGCAGUACCAUCGCCAUUUCUUUACCGGGUAGGUACAAGCAGUCGUGUUGAGCUUUUCAAUCCGAAGCAGAGAGGGAGAGGAGAGAGAGAGAGAAGAGAGAGAGAGAGAGAGAGAGAGAGCUAGCUUCUUUCAUCACCCUCCCACAUGUUCUUCUCCUUGGGGCCGGUGGGUCCUUCCUCCCCAUACAAUUCCACUGGGAGUUUGGCGAAUAUGCUCUCCACGGUGAAUCUGAGGUUGAAAGGCAAGAAGCUGAUGAUCCUCUCCAACUCCGACCGCGAGGUGUAGACGAUGGUCGGCCCCCACUCCCGCAUGUACUGCAGCCAGCAGGGCUCCGCCACCGCGCCGCCGAGGUACUCGGCGGCGACGAUCUGGUACCUGACGCUGGAAUCCACAGUGAAGUCGCUCCUCGCGGUGUCGUUCCUGAUCCCUAUCCCCAGCUUCUCCGAGCCCUGCAGGAAGUCGCCGGCGUGCGGGAAGCUCGCGUGCCCGCUCUUGGACGAGUACACGGCGGCCCUGUUUCCGGCGACGAACUCCAGCUCGCCGGCGUCGACCCACUCGCCGCCGCUGUGCUGAGAGAAGUACACGCUCCAUAGCUCGCCGGAGAAGUUGCUCACCCGCAGCGUGAAGUGCUCCCAGUCGCCGACGUGCUCCCCGAUCCUGCUCAUCGGAAAGCUCACUGGCCCGAUCUUUACCGUGCUCGGCCCGUUGAAGGGGCAGAAGACCCACAUCGCCAGAUCCGUGAAGGUCCCUCCCAUGGCGGGCUUCGCGUGGACGUAGAGCUCUGCGCUGUCGAUGUUCCCCCUCUUCACCUCCUCCGCUCGGUCGCUGGCGAGAUCUAUCCAGUACUCGCCGUCGUUGCCGCCGCCGGGGGGGAGGUUGGAGCCCUUGGAGUCGAUCGGCACGCCGCCACCGCCGUCCCCCCGCCUGCAUAUCACAGCCCCGUUCUUGAAGAACCACGGCACAGACGAUGGCAAGUACGCCUCCUCUGGGUGGAAGAACACGGUGGGCCCGUAGUGCUUGACCAGCGCGUUGACCUGAUCCAGGUUCGGCAUCGCCGCCAGGGACUUGCUCGUGUUCUUCAGGCAGGCGAUCCCCAGCUCCUCCACGUCCGAGGGAUCCUCUGAGCUGCAGAAGAAGGUCCCCACGGAAACCCCGGUGGCCCACAUCCCUCUGCUGCGAGGCCUCGCCGUCCAAGCUCUGAAGGGGCCCCCCGAGGGCGGCGCCGCCAUGUCGGCGCCGUCGAAGAUGACUUCGUGGGUCUCCGGCGAGUCCGUCAGAUCAGAGCGGACGCAUCUCACCUCCUCCAGCGGGGGCUUCUCCGGCGUGUCGGUGACCACGAAGCCCAUCGCUCUGUAUCCCGCUGGCGGGCAGGGGAGCCAGAAGAAGCCGCACCCGUCGAAGCCGUCGUCGGCCCAGUCGGCGCCGCUGCUCCAGACGAGGGAAUAGUCAACGGGCGCUCGCAGGGGCGGCUGAUCGGCGGCUGCUCCGGUCUGAGCAUCGGCUGGCUUGCUGGAGUUGACUUCUCUAGCCACCAGGACAAAUCCAUGCAGAGGCCGAUGAUUCGGCUGCCCGUAGUGGCCCAGGCAGAAGAACCCGGCGGGGAUCUCAACGGGCUUAUAAAAAGUGGCACCUUUGCUCUCCUCCUUCAACAGGCUACAACUCCAGACGCUCUGAAACUCUGUGAUCUGCAGAACCUCCAGCUCUCCGAUGCAUAUUAUGUUCUUGGCAAAGCCUCCACCUGGAAGGGAUCAUCGAUCACCACGUUUUUAGUACUUUUCUGCAGCACAUGCCCGCGACAAUCGCCAUCUCCAAGCAUUAAUCUCAGAACCUAUGAACAGAUUCUAUGCCGGAGAUAGAUAAAAAGAAAAGUCCCAACAGAGUUUAUACUUGCGGCAGGUCAACCCUGCGCCAAGAACAUCGGAAGAGACUCCAACCAGUUGACUUGCAGUAAUUCUUCGUCUUUCCCUCAAGAACAAGGGUAAGACGUUCUCAGAAAGUAAAAGCCUCUGACAGUGCAUAAUGCUAGCGGAGCUAACGAUCCGCCGGAGGGCGUCGACUAAUGAUAUGAUUGAUCAACGAUUUUGCAGCCUGAGAAAAAGAUGGGCAGCGCAUCCCAUCCGUUAGGGAAAAAAUCUUGUGAAAGCUAUGAUCGCGGAAUUGCAGAGGACGGGCCCAGAUUGGAGGCAGUGGCCGAUUAAAAUCUUGAGCUAAAAUAAAAAAAAAUCAGUGAUCUUCGGAGCCCAGAUGGAAGAUCCGGAGAGCAUUUCUGCAUGAAAGGAUAGGCUCUGUUCUUCGUCAGGAAAUCAGUCAGCUCAGAAUCUGCAGAAAGAUAGCAUCACAGAGGAGGAGGCAAAAAAAAUAAACAAGAUGAACCAGACGCAACCAAACCCGAGCAUCUUGGAAGCAUGAAUUACCCAAACGACUCCCAUGGAUCAAUGAGCGUCGCAGGCAAUGGCUCAUUGGGCGUCCCAUCGACCAUCCAGAAACCCAACGCGGGAUCCGAACUGCUUUGGCGAUCUACGUAUGCCGGGGUGAGAUGAGGAAGAGGGAAGGAAACAUAGGGAUUUAUGGAUGUGAUGAUCGGAUGCAUGAACUCGAGCAUGGGAACGCGACCGAUUUCAAAAAUCCUCGCGCGAAAUUUUUGGUUUCUCUCGGAGAGGAACCUGCUGAACGGAAUUGACGAAUAACCAAAAGUAGAGAGAAGAUGAAACACGACAGAUGACCAAUACGAACAAUGGAUAUGAAAUUUAUCAGAAUCCUGAUAGAGGCGCCAGCAGGUGGAGAAUUGCCACGAAUACGAUGAUCGGCACCGGGGCAUCGAAACCAUGCGAUUUCGCGGCGAGAAAGCUUAGAAGCUGCACCUUGGGGCCACGCAGGGAGGGGCGAGGGAAGCGAAAAGGGCUCCGGCUCGUAGGAGACGAACUGGGGCGUGCCCCUGCUCCAACAGAAACAGCUCCAAUCCGCCAUCCUCUCCCCCCUCCUCUCCUCCUGCUUCGGGACAGUCCCCGGGAACUCUGCCCCGGGGUUCGACCCCGUCAAAUACUUCCUCGGUCCUGAAGAACGGUUGGAUUCCGAGGCCUCCACGCUAAACUCCAUGGAAGAAGAUGGCGGUGUCAGACGGUGACGUUGAGAGAGACGCAGCAGCCAUGAGCUUUCCUCCUCCCCGGAAGGGACUGCUUGAUUGGGGCCACUGCGAGGGUUCCAAUGACCAGCCGGUUUAUUACCAUGGACGCCGGUGGGACUCGAUGGAGACCCCAGAUUCUCUCUCUCUCUCUCUCNNNNNNNNNNNNNNNNNNNNACUCUCUCUCUCUCGUAUCUCUCCUCCUCCUCUCUCUCUACCUCCUCUCUCCAAUCUCUCUCUCUCUCUCUCUCUCUCUCUCUCUCGUUGUGCGUCUGUCGAAGAUUGCGUUGGAGAGAAGAAAAGGCGGGUAAAUUUGUGGGGAGGCGAGGGGAGUAGACUUUUCUAUGAUAAGCUCGCGGCACAUUUUAACAUCGUCACCUCCGAGAAUCCCGUGGCUCUGGUUCCCUGGGAAUCCGUGGUAACCUGGAAGCUCAGAUGUUCCCGAGGAGCACCAGAACAUCGAGCGUACGGACUUGCACCGGGUCCGUCUUUUGUUGGGACGCGAAUGGGCUUUUCUGGACUCCCCCCCCCCUCUAAAGGAAAACUCAUGAUUUCCCAAAUUAUUAAGAAAUUAAAUAAUACCAAAUUAUCAGCAUAAUAAUAUUUUAAAUGGAAUAUUAUUCGGAAUAUUAUCCCCCCUGCAUAUUUUAUUCCCCCACUGUCCCUUUCGAAACCGCCAAAUUGAUGUCAAAAUGUCCAUCCGCCGUCCAAGCCCAAUCCAACGGAUGAGAUUUGGCUCGGGGGCGCAUACAACUGGGAUGGGGAGUGCGAAUCAAUUAUUUCAUGUUUUUCACGAUUAUUAAUUUAUUAAAUUCACUAAUUGUGUGUGAUAUGUUCUUAUACACAAAAUAAAAUUAUUACAAUAAAUAAUGUCCCGAUGCUGAGUGGAGACGCGGAAGAAUCUCGUUUUUUUCUCCAUUUUCCAUGACAAAAAAGUUUAAUUAGAAUAUGGUUCGGUGAAUGCCUACUCUCCACGUGGAGGGACAGCCACCAUCAGAUUGGUCAAUGCGCCGGCGGGCGGCUACCGUUGGAGGGCCCUUCCGGGGACGUGGACACAAAGGGCAGCGGGCCGGGUCAGAAACACUCGUCAACGGGCCGACUCCUGGGUAUCACACGGAGCCCGAAAACCGGCCCAAGACCGAGAAAAAUACAUGGGAAACCGACUGUAUAAUAAACUUUGUAUAAAAAGCCCCAAGCCCAUAUCGUCCACGCCACGUGUGAGAGGGUGUCUCUAAGGUCAAAUGAGGGCCGGGCUUCGGGCUUCGGGCUUGGACGUAUGCCGGGACGUAUUUCAUUGGCUGAUGACUGGGUCCAGCGGAUAAGAGGAUGCGACGAGAAACUGCCACGUCGCUUUCCAGAUCGUGGAACCACGCUCACAGACGCUUGAAGGAGACGUGUCCCCGGCAGCCUUUUGGUCAGCGUCUUCUUUGACACGUCUCCCGGGUCGGCCUGGUUCAUUAGUUGCCCAUUGACCUCACAAAACACGAUAUUUUAGUUUAUCAGCCCGAAUUUAACACGUGUGAGAAUCCGACAGAGACAAGGGGUUUUUCGCAAAUAUCUACAGAUCUCCAAACAACACUAAUAGCGGAAGGACCAAAGCCAAUGAAAAACAAACGGUGGGGGUGUAACAGUAAUAGAUAGAUUCUAGAGGGAGCUGAAAGUAAUAUAAUAGCCGCCUUCUAAGAACCCAAUUGGGUAGGCGUAGGACCAUUAAGAGAGCCCAGACUGCAUUUGGAAGCCCAUUACUCCAACCGAAGAUGGGCCUGGGCUGGGCCCAUUAACACGCAAAUUCCGAAGAUGACGAACUAAGCCAGGUGGAAGUACAUGAUGUUAACGGCCGUACCAUGAAGCAGGUCCUCCUGGCCGGAGCUCGACGAGAACCAGGAGCUGAUGAUGCCGCCGCCGGAGAACACGCCGUUGACCAGGCGGUCAACCAGUCUGAAGCCGCUCCGAGACGCGGCUUCGAGGAUGGAAUCUUCGCUGACCCGCCUCUGGACGUGGCACAGGAUGAGGGCCGCCGGUCUGACUUCUGCUCCGCUUCCUCGGCCGCCGCCGCCGCCGCCGGAGAUCAUUUUCCUGGCGGUCUCAAAUAACGGGGAGAUGGCCUCUGCGACGUAGGUCACGUCGGUGCCAAUGACGACGUCGAAACCGCCGCCGCUCACCUCCGCCAUGUCCUCAUCGCUCCCCCAGACCAAUUUCUUGACGAUCAUCUUCUCGAGCAGGAUCGGCGGCAGAUUCGCCGUCAGAUUUUCCUUCAGGAGGAGGAGGGAUUUGGGGUCGCCGUCGGUGGCGACGACGAGCUCGGCGAACGGGGCGGCGGCCAUGGAGCAGAGCCCCGCCGAUCCGCAGCCCAGCUCCAGCACUCUCUUCUGGGAGACGAUGGAUGGGUUCUCCGCCAGGAUCUUGCUCAUGAGGCGGGCGGAUUCCCACAGCAACAGGCCGGUUGAUCUGCAGGUGUGCUGGAAUUCCUUGGCCAGCCCCUUUAUUCUCAGAGUUCGGUCGCCCAGCUCGAUGAUCUCAGUCGCCUGCGGUCAUCCACCCAGGAAGAUUCACUGAACUGGUUUCUCCGAGUGUUCUUUUUUUUCCUAGCCCGAUCGAAAUCAAGCGAAGAAUGACAGAGAAAGUGGAGCAGAAGUACCUCACCAGGGGACGGCAAGAGAUCAAACAUGGCCGUAAUUGCAUCCGAGAUAUCUAGAUCAUCUGCAUUUUCUUCCUUCACUCUGCUCUCAUUCUGGAUGGAGCGGUCCUUCUUUUCUUCUUUCAGAAGAGGAGCUUCGUCAGCAAUCGCCAUGAAAACAGCUUGAAUCCAACGCCUGAAAAGAAAGAAACAUAAAUUUGGGUGAAGUGAUAUGUUCCAAAAAUAUUAAAAUAAUUUCUUUUAAAGGAGUUCUUACCGGUUCAUAACCAAUUCCAGAGACCGAUUCUGUAUUUGUCUGUGGCAGAUGUCGAUGUCCAGAGUGCAGAAUCCAUUGUUCACGAACAAACUCGUCAAAAAAUCAGUCGAGAAGUAGAAAGCCCGCUGAAGCAGAGAGAGUUCCUUUCCAAUCAGGACUUUAGAAAAUAGAAAAAAAUCCGCAGCCGAAGAUCGAGCACGCUAGCAUUGCUUACAGUGCCGUCACCCCUGACGUAGAAGUUAUCACUGAUCUGCUGCUCCUUGCAUGUGAGCCUUUCCUGAGACCAAGCACCCACAGUUCAGGGUCAAACUCAGAGGCAAGAUGGAGACAUGAACGAGAAAACUACCCACGAUUGAUCGGUAAAAAAACAAAAAGAGCUCGAUAAGAAGCAUUAUAGGUAAGCUGGCCAGUGAUUAAUGACUGAGUUUCGGAGAAAAAGUCAGUUAUUUAUUCGAGUGAAAGAAUGAGACCCAAUGAGCAGUUUUCCCACAAUAUCAAUGCCACCAUCCAAAAUGAAAAUAAUAUGGAAAUAUGUAGCAGAGCUUAAAUGGCUAAUCCUCGUGAUAAUCACCAAUUUCAGAAACCAUUAUUAGAACAUUAAGAAAUGUUUGGGUCGAUAUAAGUCAUAGGUGAUUCUGGCCAACCUGAGCCAGGUCCCCAGUCGCGUAGUCCCUCAGCAGCACACGGCCAUUUGGCUGAAAAAUUAAAGAAAUUAAAGGGGGGGUUAGAAUAUUAUUCAAGCUUAGCAUGUAGGAGGCAGUCUCAAGGAAAGUUAACAUAUAUGGCAAGACUUACUUUGAGGACUUUCCUGAUAUUCUGCACUACGAAGGGCAUCUUCUCAGGGGACACUGCAGAUAACAUAAAAACCUACUUAAUAUGUCAGAUAUUGACCGGGCGGCAGUAUCUCCAAUAAAAGGCAGCGUGCUAAAGAUGAAACUCGGGCUCUGAAACCCCAAUAGGACGAAUUUUGAAUGAUUUGAGAGCGGGGAGUUGGCUGAGCGUACCAAUGUCACGACAUCGACUGAUGAAGGCAGUAUCUUCUCACUUAGAUCAUCCACCGUAAGGUCACAAACAAAGGCAUUUACUCGGUCGUCUCUGAAGUCCUUGUGAGCCUGGUGCAUGAAAAUUGACGCGCAAAAGAAAGAGAUGAGUAGCAGUUCUUGAUCAGUGUUCACAGAAUUCCUUGAUAACCAUGAAAUUUUUUAAUGGAUUUAUGCCGUUGAGGAUAUCCUUUUCUGUAAAAACUUGAAUCUGGGUUUUAGCAAAAAGUAUUAAGAAUGAUAUUAACAGCUCAAUAACACCCCUCUCCUUUGGAUCUUAUAAGAUAAAAGAUUCUCCAUCUGCGCGCAGUCAUCCCCCGCCAUGAAUUGAAGCAGUAGAAGAAAAAAGGUAACUCCAAUGCAUGCACUCUAAAGACCAAAAAAUGGAAAAUAAAUCAUGAACGCUACCAUGGUCACCAUCACAGGACAUCAUUGCAGAAAAUUCUUCUCACAUUCCAUCAUGAAAACAUUUUAUGGUGCAAAUAAAAUGUUAACAGCAUUGUUUUAGUCAGAUAGUUUUAGGGGCAUUAACAUAGAACCACAGUGCUAGUAUAAAGAUAUUCGAACCUUCACUAGGUCAAUGGCACGUUCCGAAAAAUCACAUCCGUGGACAAAGAUAUCUGGAAAUGAGGACAACAGAGGGAAAAUCGUGUUUCCUGCUCCACAGCCAACCUGAAACAAACAGAAAGCACUGAUAAUAUAAAAUUGAAAAAAAUACCAGAAAAAGGGGUUUCUUUAAUAGCUCGAGCUUUACAGACGAGGGGAGGAAAAAAAAAUCAAGCAACCACUAGAACAGAAGGGGUGACGACGGUUCCAGAAAAGGGCUGCCGUAGAAAAAAACAUGGAUAAGGAAAUAUGCAGGAAAAUCACUAUGAAAAGUUACAGAAGGCCCUCGAAAAAAAACUAUGCAGGAAAUAUGAGGUAACUAGUAAUAAGCGUCGGCAAAGAUAAGGAAUAUAAGUUAUCCAGGAGAUCUUUUGAGGGAAAAAUAUGUAAUCAACGAGACAGCCAGAGACCUAUUACCUCCAACACGACUGGUUUUUUGCCCUCUUGACCCUGCAGAUGAGAGGAAAAACAGUCUGUGCGUGAAAAUUAGGUUGACAUAUAACAGGAACACUGCAUGCGUGAUAGACAAAGAAGAUAAAUCGAAGAAGAUAAUGGAAAAUAACGUCGUUACGCUGAAAUGGCGGCCCCAUUCCUUGUACAGGUAGUGCCGAUCCUUGAAGAACUGCCUCCAUCAAAAUCCGAAACAGCGUCACAGCAGCCACAUGUUAACUAACGCCGGGACAAGUUGCGAGCAUGAGAAACGACGACGAACCUUGUCCUGGUGGCGCUUGUAGAAUUUAUCCCAGUACUUUCUGGCGUCCCUCUCGUACUUGUCUGCGCCAACCAGAACAGAGUCAGCAGAGGGAAAAUCAAUGAAAAAGGAAGCGCGGACGGCUCUGGCACUGGAGAGCGUCGACGACCUCUCCAGUAGGGGCUGACUUCUCUGCCGGAGCUGGCGGCCGCCGACGCGUAAAUCUGUAUCUUCUUCUCCUCCCGCGCCGCCGCCAUCGCCGCCGGGUACGAGACCUUGGGAAUUUGCUCCCACCCCAGGCCCUUCAUCAUUGUUAAACGCAGUGAUGGGUCGUCGUAGUGUAAUUUUAUGGACGACAGGCACCCAAUAGAGGCCCACUAAAAACAGGCCCAUAAUUAACGGCCCGUCAAAAUAGCCCAAUAAUGUCGUUAAGUUUGCGACCCACCAGGGGGCCCAGACUGAUCCCCCAGGCUUUCCAACGGGCCAGGCCAAAAUCACAUGAAGUCUGAUGAUGGUGCCCAGAAAAUACAAUCAACAGAAGAAAAAAAUAUUUUUCACCCAGUUGGUCAAUAAAAAAUAUUUAGAGGCGUUUUAAUGCCCGAGUCAUCAUUUUCGCACUUAACUGUAGAAGAAGUACUUUUUGAACGAAUUCAAGUACAUCGGAUGAUCAAGAAGAAUCAAGACACCUUUCAGCUUAUUCAGCUCACUUUGAAUAGAGAAAAGGCUUGAAGAUACGAUUUGGCCCAACUUCUAUUGGAGAGAAUCUAAUGAUAAAUUUUAACACAUUUAACACGUUUCAAUAUCUCAUUCUCGAUUUUUUCAUUUCUUAAAUUUUGUUUGUUAAAAUGAAACAAUAUCCUUAACACUUUAGUAGGCUAUAUAAACACCUACUGUUUAUAUUUUUUUGAAAAAAUACGUAUUAUUUACGUCAAUUAUAAUGGAAUAUAUAUUUUAACAUACUGCUCUUAUUUUAUGGGGUUUUCUAAUAUUUAUUGUUUUAAUAAAUUUUAACAUAUUUCGUAUAUUCUAACUUAGUUCUAACUUAAAAUGGUCUUUUGUAUCUCAAAUGGUGAGUUUUAAUACCAUUGAAUCAAUUUCAAAUUUCAUUCCUCUCUAUCUAUGUUGGUGAAUCCCAUCUUCCUCAAUGGAUUCAAGAGACCUUUUUGAUAUUUGUAGACUUGUGAUCAACUCCUUUUAAACUAAUGGGGCAACAAUUAACUCACUAGUGAACAUAUAGUGAAUAAUUUUCAUAUAUGUCACAUUUUUUAGGCUCAAUAAUGAAAAUUCUAUUUAUCUCAAUUAAAGUAGUCAAAUCAUGACCAAAUUAAGAUUUACGCUGCAUUUUAUGUGUAUGCUUAUUGGAAGUUGUGGGAGAUAAGAUGGGAGGCAUAGAGUAGGCGACACAUAAAUCUAGUAACCAGCCAAAUUCUUGUUGGCUAUUGGACCAACAACUCAUUUGAAGCUUUAACCUGAUCAAUAAAAUAAUUGGGACAACCAUAACCUAUCCCUUUUGGUGAUAUUUUCUCCAUUUGAUUAAAUUCUAAAUAUAUCUACUACUAUACUUGGGAUAUAUAUAUACUUAAAUACAUAUGUAUAUAUAUAUAGGCUAACAUUAUCAUAAUUGGUAACUUUUAUUAUAGUAAUUUCCAUAACAACACCCAUUAAUCAAGGUUAUAUUUUUUUAAUCACAUUGUCUCUUAGAUAUAUGAAAAAUGGGUCUCCUCUCACUGAUCAUUAUGUCUUCUUGAUCAACUUUAUUUCCUCAAAUCGCUUUGAGCCUUUUCUAGCAAGAUGUAUAAUGUUCUUAAAUGUUUUUAUAACUGUGGAGAUCUAUUUUCAUGGAAACAUUCCAAGGAUACAAAAUGCAGCUUACAUUUUUAUAAAUUUAUUUGACUUUUUCUUCAUUAUAUGGAUGCGUUUUACUUCUUUUGUUAAACUCUUGGGGGUUUCAUUCUUACAUUUAAGAGACAAAAAUCAUCUUUACCAAUAUUUUUAAAAUACUAAUUGCAUAUUUGUAAAUAUUUGUCACAAAUAACUUAGUGGAGGAGAGACCAAAAAAGAGGUAAAAAAAGUGGAGGGCGUUUUCUAUAUUUGUGGAGCCAACGAGAUAAAAUAGCACUAUAAAGUAGACACGUUGCGAAUGACCGUUGGGAAGUCAACGUUGGGCGCGAGGCGAAGGAUUAAGUGGAGACGCGCUCGCAACCUACGAAGGCACGCGCCGGAUCUUCUUCUUCAAGGAUAUAAUUGGGCCCCACUGGAUUGCCUUCGUAGGAGGGAGAGAGAGAGAGAGUGAGAGAGAGGAGAUUCCGAGGAAGGCCUUUUUGAAUCUUUCAUAAUGGCGAGACGAGGAGGAGCUCAUAGCUUGCAAUAAAUCCUCGCAGGAGAUCUCGUGAAGGAUUGCUGGUGUCUCCCGGCUCCCUUCCUUCCUCCUCUCGAAGGAAGAGCUCCUCUCUCUCUCUCUCUCUCUCUCUUUCUCUCUCUCUGUGGACGUCUGAAGCUCCGGCGACACACCUAUCCCCGUGAAGGAGAGCUCUCCGAUGAUCACGAGUUUCAUCUCCCCAGUAGCAAUGUCCCUACAGGCGCGCCGCCGGCUUCAAAUACUCCCUGCGGCAAGCGGCCAGAGGAGAGCAUCCAGCAGAAGAAGAUCGCUCCACGGAUGGGAAACUUUCAGCACCACCGCCGCCGCUGCCUCCUCCUCCUCUGCUUCUGCUGCACGUCAUGGUUUCUGCCGCUGGAGGCUACGGAGCUCCGGACCUACAUCGUCCACCUUCACCACACGGCCGCCCCUCCGGCGAGCCCCCUCGAAAGCAAGCUCGAAUGGCACCUCUCCUUCCUCCGGCAAACGACGACUGCAUUGGAGGAGGAGGAGGAGGGCCCCUCGGGGCGACUCGUCUACUCCUACCGAUCCGCCGUCAACGGCUUCGCCGCCCGUCUCUCUGCAGAGGAAGUUGACGCUCUGCGGCGCAACGCCGGCGUCGCCGCCGUCCACCCCGACCGCCGGCUCGAGCUGCACACCACCUACUCGCACCAGUUCCUGGGGCUGGGUUUCUCCCCCGGCGGCGCCUGGGCCAACGCCGGGUACGGGAAGGGGGCCAUCGUCGGCGUCCUCGACACCGGGGUCUGGCCGGAAAGCCCGAGUUUCCACGACCGGGGUAUGCCCCCCGUGCCGAGGAGGUGGAGAGGGAUCUGCCAAGAGGGGCAAAGCUUCAACUCCUCCGCCUGCAAUCGCAAGCUCAUCGGCGCGCGCUUCUACGGCAAGGGGCACAGGUCGUCGACCUCCGAGCCGGGGCUGUCCCACGUCGUGGAGUACGUCUCCCCGCGCGACGCCCACGGGCACGGGACACACACGUCCUCCACGGCGGCGGGCGCCGUGGUGGAGGGUGCCAGUGUGCUCGGCGUGGGCGCCGGCGUCGCCGCUGGGAUGGCCCCGGGGGCCCAUGUGGCCGUCUAUAAAGUCUGCUGGUUCAACGGGUGCUACAGCUCCGACAUCCUCGCCGGGAUCGACGACGCCAUCAGGGACGGCGUCGACGUGCUCUCCCUCUCCCUGGGGGGCUUCCCGCUCCCGCUCUUCGAGGACAACAUCGCCAUCGGCGCCUUCCGCGCCGUGGAGAAGGGGGUGGUGGUGAUCUGCGCGGCGGGGAACAACGGGCCGGCGCCGGGCUCCGUCGCCAACGAGGCCCCCUGGAUCGUCACCGUCGGCGCGAGCACCAUGGACCGGCGGUUCCCUGCCUUCGUCCGCAUGGGCAACGGGCAGCUGCUGUACGGCGAGUCCCUCUACCCCGGUAACCACUUCGGGAACAUCCCCGGCAGGGAGAUGGAGCUGGUCUACGAGGCCGGCGGGAAUGGCGGAGGCGAGUUCUGCUUCAGGGGGUCUCUGCCCAGGACCAGGGUCGGCGGGAAGAUGGUUGUCUGCGACCGCGGGGUCAACGGCCGGGCGGAGAAGGGAGGCGUUGUGAGGGAAGCCGGAGGGGCGGGGAUGAUCCUGGCUAACCAGGAGAUCAACCAAGAGGAGGACUCGGUUGACGUCCACGUCCUGCCGACCGCCAUGGUCGGCUACAACGAGUCCCUCCGUCUGAAGAGCUACAUGAAAUCGACGGCGCGGCCGGUGGCCCAGAUCGAGUUUGGCGGGACGACGGUCCGGCGAGCCAGGGGGCCGGCGGUGGCGCUGUUCUCCUCCAGGGGGCCGAGCCUCACCGACCGCUCCGUCAUCAAGCCCGACCUGGUCGCUCCGGGGGUGAACAUCAUCGCCGCAUGGCCGCAGAACCUGGGACCCUCGGGGCUGCCGGAGGAUGACAGAAGAGUCAACUUCAGCAUCCUCUCCGGCACCUCCAUGGCCUGCCCACACGUCAGCGGAAUCGCCGCCCUGGUUCGCGCCGCCCACCCCUCGUGGAGCCCCGCCGCCGUCAAGUCCGCCAUAAUGACCUCCGCCGACGUGUUCGAUCACUACGGGAAGCCCAUCAUGGACGGGGCGAGCCCCGCCGGAGUCUUCGCCGUCGGCGCCGGCCACAUCAACCCAGCGAGGGCCAUGGACCCCGGCCUGGUCUACGACAUCAGACCAGAAGACUACGUCGUGCAUCUCUGUACUCUGGGGUACACCGGCUCCGAGAUCUUCACCGUCACGCACAGGAACACCAGCUGCAGGGAGAUGCUGGCGAGAAACAGGUACUUCAGCCUCAACUAUCCCUCUGUUUCAGUCGUCUUCAAGAAGGCGGAGACGAGGAAGAUGAUCCAGCGGCGAGUGACCAACGUGGGUCCGCCCAACUCGACGUACAUCGUGCGAGUGGCGGCGAUGGAGGGGGUCAGCAUCAGGGUCACCCCGCCGGUCCUCACCUUCAACGCCGCCCACCAGAGCAAGAGCUACAGGGUGUGGUUCCAGUCGAAGAAGAGGGCGGUGAAGGGGAAGACGCGCUCCGAGGAAGGGGACCUGACGUGGGUCAGCAGCCGCCACCCGCGCCACAGAGUGAGGAGCCCCAUUGCAGUCACCUGGGCAGGGUAGAGAAUGGCAGCCGGCGGCGACAGUAAAUAAACUCUCCUCAUGAUUGGUAUACAGAGAGAUUUGAAGCUCUCAAAUUUCCCUAACAAGUAGGUCUUUCCUUUUUCCCCCAAAUAAACCUUCGAUUAUUGGAUGAACAAGGGAGAACUCCUUGCUUUGAUUCACAGCAGUAUGUAGCAGCAGGUUGCAGUCAUCGGAGAAGCCUUCGUCACUGUGUGUUCUUCCUUCUUGACUGUUCCCAAACUUUCUCAUAAGAUAGAAUCACGAGAUACAAAAAUGAGGAAGAAUAUGUGGUACGAGUGAUUCAGAAACAUGCAAAAAUUUUCGAGAGAAGAGAGUUAGAACAGGGGGCAUGGAGGAGGAAGGGGGGGGGGGUUAUGUACAGGUCGUGGCUUAUUUCUUGACGAACUGCAGGCCAUUGGCAUCGGAGUACCUCUCCAUGAACCGCAUGAACCUGUCCCACUCUCCGGGGGUGCGCAUGAUGUACUUGGCCUCGAUUCUCGCCGGCCUUCCGUUGACGAACUUGGCGCUGACGUCUACAGACUGAAGGACGCCUUCCUCGUCGAUCAUGUAGAAGCCGGUGAUGUCGCCGAGCUCGCCGGAGGAGUCGAACAGCGAGGGCUGUUCGAACACGAAGGUCGCCACGCCGUUGGUGCCGUCGCGGGACUUGGUCAGCCUCACGUCCGGCACGGUCUGCUCGUCGGUCCCCUGGAUAAAUUGGAUCGCCGGCCUGACCGCCAUUCUAAUCGCCCGCGAUAUCUGCCGGCCUGAUCUCACUUGGGUGAGCUUCAGUUUACGGAACUUCAGGGAGGCGCCAUUGAAGGAGGAGCUGGCGCUCUGAAUAGCUCCCGUCGGAAAAGCCGCCGUCGAACCUGAAAGGAGGGAGUUCAAUACUGAUAUCCUCCUGCGGAGGUUCAGGAAGGGAAACUCAAGAUUUGUUCGACAGAUGCCGAAAACGAUCCCCAGGAAGGGAAACCAUAGGUCGCCGAGAAACAAUUGAGUUCAUGACAUCUUCCAGAGCUAAUAUUUCUUCAUGGAAAUUAUGAGAACGCAGGAGGAAUCUAUUGACUUCAUCUUGCGAUCGUUCCGGAAAUAUUGAGUCCGGGAAGAACAAAAUGCAGAGUAUAAAACCUAGAAACGGGGGGAAGCCAUUCCCAACCUGUUUCGCUGUAGAACUCAAAAAUUCUCAUCGAUUAUAACACAAAAUAAAAAUGCAGGAAUUCCUUAACCCGAAUAAGUGUAAACUAUACGUGGAUAAGCCCCCGAUUGAAAACCUGGAGAGAAUAAAUCGACAGAUUGCCUGCGAUGGAGCAGAAAUCUCCCGCUCGACAGAAAAAUUUACAGGCCGGAGGCUCCCACGCUGGUUCGGACUCGGCAACUCCACAUUGAGGUUCCAGAAUGGAGCAAGUUUAGGACGGGAGAAGACCACCUAGAAGAGAACGAUGCUGCCGCGGGGAAUGGAAGGCGGCGGAGGAAAGCGCAAGCGACUGCAGCGUCGCCAUUCUGAAGAGCGGGCGGGGGAGAGGAGAGGAGCUGCGCGCCGGAAUGAGGGGGGGGCGCAGUCUGAGGAGAGAACUAGAGAAUGGCGAGAGGUAGAGGCCAGAAGAAAACCUAGCAGAAAGAGAGACAGAACGUUAGAGAGAGGAGAGAGAGAGAGAGAGAGAGAGAGAGAGAGAAGAAAAUGGGUGAAGAUGGGGAGGAGAGGUGUGUCCGAAUCAGAACCAUUCGGAAAGGAUUGGUCUGGGGAUUCCCCGGGGUAUGUUACGCGACACCGUGUACACGCCUGAUGUCAAAUUAUGGAAGUAAUACGGCUUUCCUGAAACUGUCGGAAAAUUGUGGGUCCAUUCGCAUACCAGUCACAUCCAUACACGAAUCCGACCGUCCUUCGUCCCUAUCGGGGUCAAUGGAUUGACUUAAAUCGGGUUUCAGAAGCACUACUCGACGGGCACAUCAACAGGGGUACUUUACGAAAUAAUUAAAGUAAAGUACCAAUUAAAAGCCGGUUAUGAGUGCUUUGGUUUACUUUCUAGUCGCGGUAUCUGGUUUUAAGCGGAGAGAAGGGCCGCCGCAGCCAAUCCCCACUGCCAGAAAGAUACCGACGAUCCCCGGAGGGUGGCUCCGCCUCCCGUCGUCCUCUUCCCCGCAGAUCUGGGCAGAGAUCGGGGGAAGGCAGGGGGACGGUUCCAGAUAGCAUGGCGUCCUACGUGUAUCUGUCCGCUUCCCCUCUCUGCGAGCUCGGUGACCCCGCGGCAGCGUGGAAAAGCCGCCGCAGUGGCGCUCUGAAGCGGGAGAAGGAGAGAUGGAAGAUGAAGGCGUCGACGCGUUGAUUGACUAGCUGGCUGCUGGGCCGUGUAGGCAAGUCGGAUACUUUGGCUGGUUCCCCAUCCCCCCACUGCUUCUUCGUCUCCUCCCUCUCCAAGAAUCUUGGCGGCUCCUCGUCUUCUGUUCCCGUGUACUCCUCGGGCUCGUCCCCCUGUUUGGUCGCGAAUCCUUCACCUGUUCUGAUUUGAGCGGACAUCCACAGCCCGUGGUUGUCCUCUCCGUAGUCGUGCUUCUCUCUCUUUCUCUCCGUGCUGGUCGUUCUCUUGCAUGGCCGUCUGAUCCGGGAGACGCAGGAGCCGGCAUGGCCGGAUGAAGCCGAAGCCCUGGGUUUUGGGACCCUCUGCCUUCACACGCCGGCUGUGGUCGCCAUGGAAGCCGCCAUCUACCUCCCGAGUUCCCUCAAAGGGCCUCCGCAGGAAGUCUGAGCUCCAUCCUCCGCUUACUGCUACAGCAGGAGCCGCAGCCCGCCGGCGGAUGACGACGACGGGGAAGAUGGGUUAAGAGCAAGCAAGCACGGCCGCUGGGCCGCCGGCGGAAGGGUCAAAACCGCAAAUAACUCGGCGGGCGUCCCGGUGGUGGCGAGCGUCGUUCAUGUCGCGGAACAGGGCUUCCCACCGAGGAGCGCUCCACCUUCGCUAGCCGACAAGCCAUUUGUCGGCACCAUGGGCCCCAGAGAAAAGCUCUUUAUGGGCCGCAUCUAUUUGGGCUAACAUUAUAUGGGCCGGCUAUUGGGCUUGGAUGAGAUGGGCACCAGGGGCGCCGCGGGGGGGUAUCGACGUGGACUCAGCAACGCACGGUCCAGCGUGGCGUCUCCGUCGGAUGUCUUUGCGAUAAACCCUCGCUUUCAGCUUUUUCACAGUUAGACCCUCGCCAUCCACCUCGUCGGCUUUUGGGGGCCCGUCCAUCUCGGGAGUGGCGCUUGUGGGGCCCACCACUCCCCUAAAGGGGCCAAAGCGUAUGAGUAAACUCAUUGUGGCCAUGGCCAACUACUCAUCGAACAAAUCCCAGCCCUCCACGCACCAACCGGGUGACGGCAACACUGGAACAGAAGAGCGGGCCCCACGGGGCUCGGGGCCCUAUCGCCUCCAUCGGUGCCGUCUGUCCAGUGGACUCCAAGUAAUAGUCCAACUAUUAGACGAUCAGAUUUAUCCGGGCCCCAGCAGCGUCUGGGCAUGGGAGGCAAGGGAAUAGUUUAAUAUACAGAUAGAGCUGGCGGAAUACCGUACCGGCACAGGUGUAUGUGGUAAGAUUGGUGAAUUAGAUAAACUCCGGGGGUAUUUACGGUCAGUAUUAUCUUUUCUCAGGAAGCCUCUCCCUCUCUCUCGACUCUUCUCUGCCCACGAUGAAGGGAAAGCGCGAAGAGUGAAAGAGCAGUGGCAUAUUUCGUAAAUUAGGGGAGUAAAAGUGGUGAUUUGAAACUCCAACGACCGGCGGAUGUGCCACCUUCUGGGUUCUGCUCCGUCGAUCUAGCGAUCCUCGAGCGUCCUCUCCAGAGUUUAACCACCACCUUCGGCUUCCAGUCUGCCACGGCGUCUCCGCCUCGCCGGAGUUUCCUCCGCCACUUUGUCGCCGUCGUGUUCCUGAAUUGAGCGGAAUCUCCGUCGGAAGCAUUCAGAUCCGAGACAUUGUCCCGGAUCGGGGAGAGUGACUCUAACCCUAAGGCGAGGAGACUGUGAUAUUUCCGCCGUCUCCGUCGCCACCGCCGUCGAAAUGGAGGCGGCGCUGGAGAUGGCGCGGUCCAAGGACACGAAAGAGAGAAUGGCCGGUGUGGAGCGCCUCCAUGAGCUACUGGAGGCCUCCCGUAAGAGCCUCUCCGCUGCCGACGUCACCGCUCUAGUCGAUUGCUGCUUGGAUCUCCUCAAGGACAACAAUUUCAGGGUCUCACAGGGUGGCCUCCAGGCGCUUUCGUCGGCUGCCGUCCUCUCAGGGGAGCACCUUAAGCUACAUUUCAAUGGUUUGGUCCCGGCUGUUGUGGAGCGGUUAGGGGACGGGAAGCAGCCAGUCAGGGACGCCGCUCGGCAGCUUCUGAUAACUCUUAUGGAGGUUGAUCCCUUUGAGCUCGCUUUCGUUUCCUGAUUUGACUUCUUCGAGAUGAUUCCUCAUGUUUUUAUGAGAAUGAGGACGAUGCACUCUAUGUUGUAGUUAUUUUCAAUUUUCCCCGCAAUAUUUUAGAUCUCUGUUUUUUCUUGUGGAACGAAUAGUCCAAUUCUAUUUAUGCGUAACAGGAUGAUCGGACUUGGGGGUUAUAACUGGCGAUUAAGUUUUUUAAUUCUUGGUUCCGUUUUGCUAUCAUGAGGUGAAUGGUUGUCGCACCUUUUUUUGGGGACUUUACGAGAGUGUAAAAAGCAGGAAGUUUCCUCUAUCUGAUCGAGCUCCAUUUUUUCUGAAGUUAUUCUGGCUCAAAAUGGUUCGUGAGUGGUUCUUUUAAAAUUCUUUUUUCCUUGUUUCGUCUCCCCAUCCCCUACUUGCUCCAUCCGUCGUUUCUUUUGUGCGUGUGAGAAAUAUUUUUUGUAGUUAUUUAAAUGUGGUAGAUGGUUUCCCCACACUCUGAAAUGCUCUUUUUAUUACGUCUCUUUAAGUUCUAUAUAUUGUCAGUGUUUAUAAAGAAUUUAUAGUGUAGUUUGCACUGUUCCUCCCACAUUCGUGUUCAUGUUUCUCUGCAAUAAAUUCGUACUAAUGCUGCCCCUUUUUUGUUCACCAUUGCGGUGUACAAUAUCGUUCUGCAUUAAAAACUAGAUGCCAUUGUCACAGGGAGCACAAACUAACUGGCUGAUAAUCUUUGUGCUCCUUACCAGUUCUUCUUUUUUGCCUUUCAUUUCAUUCAACGGAGUAUUGUAAUAUAAAUAACAUUUUUUUCAUAGAAUGAUCUUAUAAAAAUCUACAGCUCAGACUCACGAUUUUUAAUGUAAACUAGGUUUCUUCACCGACAAUUAUCGUUGAAAGAGCUGGAAGUUAUGCUUGGAACCACAGAAGUUGGAGGGUUCGAGAAGAGUUUGUGCGUACAGUAACCACGGCAAUUGGCCUUUUUGCUUCUACCGAGCUUACUCUUCAGCGGGUUCUUCUUUCUCCAGUAUGUAUAUUAACUUAGAUUAAAGUUGGUAAAUACCAUAGUUCGUAAUUUUCACUUAUAUACAAAUUAAAUAUUGUUUCUUUUGUCUCUGCCAGGUAUUGCAGUUGUUGAAUGACUCUAACUACAGUGUUCGAGAAGCUGCUACUUCUUGUAUUGAGGUUAGUGUUCUUACUUAUGUAUUAUUAUCAAAAUGUUAACUUAGAUCCUAUAUUUUGUAUCCAUUUAUCUUAAAUUAAUAUUCUUGGGCAUGCAUUUCUUUAUUCUUGGGUAUGCAUUUCUUUUGGAUCCACUUUCUUCAAUUCCAAAUUCGUAAUUCUGUGUCUACUAACUGGAAUUUACUAUACCAUGAAAAUGACGGUUUAUGCAUGUGUUUAUAUAGUGAUAAAUUAAUGGCUAGAUAUAGUCGCAUGAUACCAAACAAAAGUUAUUGGUCAUAUACAAAGGUGUAAUCAUCCCCAAAAAACUUUAGACAGAUGAAUGUCUCCGAAGUUGUUGACAACCACAGACAGUUCCACAAUGAUAAAAUUACUACUUCGGCGGAUAUCACUUUCAGAAGAUCAAAUUAGAAACUUAGAGAAAUGAGAAAUCUCAAUAAAUUAGUAGUUACCCAGACUAGGAAGUAUUAUUUUCAUGAUUUCUGUGAAAGGAACUGGUGAAAUGAAUAGAAUAGCUUCUUGGUAUGAUUCUCAUCAUAGAACUUGAUUGCAAAGUACCGGGAUAUGACUCACAAACUGUUGAUAUUCCCUGAAGUGUGGUUUGCAGAGUUUUUGCUGUGAUGUUCAAUUCCUAACCUCUGUCGCUCUUUCAGAUUUUCUCCUACAGUUCUGACAACUUUGGAUCUAUGUUACACCAAUCAUAUCAGUUCUGUUUCAUAUAUGUAUACACAUUUGUCUGCAAUUAGUCAAAAGUCGUUCGGCAGUCUUGUUAAAUUUAUAACCUUUUUGCUUUCAAUUUCAGGAGAUCUAUAUGCAGAUCGGACCCCAGUUUCAUGAUGAAUUGCAACGACACCAUCUUCCUCCGCUGAUGGUACUGCUAUUGGUCAUGUAACACAUUUGUUAUUGAUGAUUGUUCUUUUCACAGAUAUUAUACAUUGUCAUAAUUGUUGCUAUAGAUGAAAGAGAUCAAUAGCCGAUUGGAGAAGCUUGAGCCAAAAUUACGUCCAACAGAGAGCUCAGGCCAUUUUAUUCCUUCAGAAACGAAAUCUUCCUUACAUAACCACAAAAAGAGCAGCCCAAAGGCCAAAGCGGCUCCACGGGAAACUACUCUUUAUGGUGGUAAGCAUUAUUGCACUCGAAUUUGGGGAGGUCUGAGCUGAAUCAUAAUUUUUUUGAAUGUUGCUCUAACUUAAUCGUCUUAACUUUCAUGGAUGAACACAAAAAUAUACUAAAACAGUUCACGCGGGUCAGUUACUCUCUUUUUGGUUGUACAGCCGUUUAAUUCAUUUAUAAAUAAUUUAUAAAUGAAAUGUUAUCUGAUUGACAGGUUGGCUAUUAUUGUAGGGGUGAAGUGGGAGGGGGGUUGUGUGUUAAAAAGGAUUGUAAAAAGGUUGUUGCUGUUCUAUCAUCUUUUGUGAUUUAGUCCGGUCAUUAUGGGAGUGUACAUAAUUGAAUUAUAAUCAUUUAAUUUACUAGUGAGUGCUGUCUGAAUAGCUCUUGGCAUUUUUUACAUUGAAACUGUGGAGGCGUCUAAACUCUAGUCAUAAGUUAUGGUUAGUGUUUUGAUUUCCUUAAAGUCAUGAUCUUCAUAACAAUAUAUUUUAAGUGAUUAUGCUUCUGUAUGACAUUGGAGUUCUUGUGAGGAACUCAAAAUUUUGCAAAUGUGCUUCCAAUAUAUUGUUGUAUUGGUUGUGGGUGUCUAAUGGACUCAUUCUUCUCAUAAUUGUUGUCGACACAAUUUUUUUGACCUCCCAUAGCAUCCUGCUUUUGUGAUGCACUUUCAUCUUUAUUUUUGUUUUGCAUCACUUUUUUGGCUAAAAUUUUUGUUCUCUUGCUGAGGAAGGUGCUUUGACUCUGUUAUUUCUCUAUCACCUUUAUUUCUGUCCCAUCAUGUUUAUACAGUCCCGUAUGAAUGGAUUCUAUUUGCUUAUCUCCACUUUUCUCUUAAUUCACAUAGUAUGGGAACUAGCAAGAGCUUCAGUUAAUUGUUUAGCUCUAAUCUGCUUUGAUUUGCGAUAGUUAUUGAUUCCAUACUUGUAAUUGGGGACAGAAGACAUCUCUGUAAUCUGAAGGGUCGGAUAUUUUCUUCAUAGUAAUUGUCUGCUUGUUUAACGUGCUGUUAAUUUUUUUAGCUGUUGGUGAAGCUGAUGCUGCUGAAAAUCCAGUGGAGCCCAUUUCAGUGCACACAGAUAGAGAAUUGGUCCGGGAAUUUGAGAAGAUUUCGUCGACUUUAGUUCCAGAAAAGGAUUGGUCAAUCAGAAUAGCUGCAAUGCAGAGAAUUGAAGGGCUUGUUUUAGGAGGUCAGUACUGAAGGUGCUCGCUUUAGAUUUUAUUGCGUUUUUUAUUUGAAAGCAAAAGGAAUGAUACUUAGAUCAUGAUCUUCUGGAAAUCUGUUUGGCCGAUCGUUUUCUGUAUCUCCCUCUCCCUCAAAGCAGUGUGAGUAUUCUGGAAAGAGAUGCUCAUUUGUACGUUAUGCCAUUUGCAUGCUUCGCCAAGGAAAUGCUUGAAAGCAGAUCUCAUUUGUUUUACACUUUAAUUUGUGUGCUAGGAAACCAUGAAAUUAUUGUCUUUUCGUGCACAUUUCCUAGUUUUGAUGUUCAAUUGGACCUAAUGCUAUUCCAUCCCGCUAUCUCUGCUGGAAUUGUGUUUUGGUUUCUCUGAGAAAGUGAUGUCCUACAUUCAUGGGUGACAGAGAGUUUAUUCUUAUUCCAUCAUUAAGGUUCCUUGCUAUCUUAUUUACUAGGGUCUAUUAAACAUCAGACGACUCUUUGUCUUUGUCUUGGAACAGUGGCCCAUUAUUUCUAUUUAAGGGUUUGUGGAAUCGAGAAACAAAAGGGGACUUUAUGCAGAUCAUUGCAAAGCUUACUAUCUCCUUGAGAAAAUGUCAUAACUCAUUUUCAGAAUUGUGAGCCAUUUUCAGUAGGCCUUAUUUUUGUUCAUGCUUCAGUCACUUUUGUGCUUUACUAUUUCAGAAAAGUUCUCAUCAUUUUUUUUUUGAGAUGUUGAUAUUAUUUAAGUUCGCUCGUGUGUUUAUUUCUUCGUUGUUCUAGGCCAAUGUUUGGACUCUUGGUUGAAAGCAUCUUGUAUUUGUAUGAUCAUUCGUGUUCACUUUUACAGAUUUUUUAUUUGUGUUGUUUAAGUACUUUCUGUUGUCAAAUUGUUCGCAAAGUCAGAUAUUCAAUGUUGUGUGGAUAUUCCUAAUACUCUUUUCGUCUUCAGGCGCCACCGAUUUUCCAUCCUUUCCCAUGCUCUUAAAGCAACUUGUCACUCCUCUCAGCUCUCAGCUUAGUGACAGACGUUCUAGCAUCGUAAAACAGGUACAUAAACUUUCUAGAUACCUUUUUUUUUGCUACGAAUAUAAGCAAUAUGAUCCUCCGCCGCGAAUAUGUAACUUAUACUCAAAUCCGUAACUGUGAACUGGGCAUCUGACUGAAUGCAACUUGAGAUGUUCAAGUGUUCUCAUUAUACAGUACAUAUGUUCUUUAUUAGAAAAUGUAGGAGAAACAUUGUUUCUUUCUCUUUCCUUAUUACCAUAAAAAAGGAAAAUUUGUCCUAAGCAAUUAACAAAAGUAAAAUGGUCAUGAUAAAUAAACAAUUUUUUUGGAAUGGUAGCGUUAGGACGCAGCUCUUUAGGGCUUUGCUGUGCUGAUGCUACUUGAAUACUCAAAACUGUAGGGCGAUGGAUAAUUUGAUUUGGUUUAAUUUCGACUAGUAGCUUUUUUGAGUUGAAUUCUAUGUUUCUUGAAUACUCAAACUGUAGAGAAGGAUAAAAUGUUUUUGAGGUGUAAUCUUCCACUUCCCUGUGGGAUUCACAGACUAGUGGAAGAUCACAAGGCGAACAGUGUAGCUAAUGAGAAAGAGCCCUUGACUUUUGAUUUAGGUGCGCUCGUAGAAUAUUCCGGUCUUAUAUAUCCGGUUUAAAUUACUUCAUAACUGGUGGACCAAGAAAUAAAGACAAUUAUGGGAAUGCACAGUUAAUAUCGAUAAACGUGCAGAUUGUUGAUAAUUCAGGGUUUUUACGCAUUAUAAUCUAAAACCUUUUUGAAUUUUAUGAGUUUUAAAGGGACUCAUUCUGCUUCACUGUAGUCAGUCGCUGAUGGGGAUUAACCAUACCCCCCUUCCCUUGGUUUGAGCUAUGGUGUACAACUCCCGUAGAUUAACUGGUCCAAUCCCAGUGAACCAUUUGUUUAUUAUGCGUCUAACCUAAUAAAAAGAUGCCUAACUCGAGGUAUUCUUUGCACAGUACUGGGUGCCUAUUGGGCGCUCUUCAAUGACACUUGGUGAUACUCUUAAUUCACUAAAUAUUUUGAGGAGGGGAAGGAAAUAUGCAGAACUACAUUUCACGUGUAGUAUAAAGGUUGGGUGUUAUGUUUGUUAUCAAGAAUAGUUGUGGAUGCAUGUGGAAAGGUUGAGCAGGUUUCAACUUGAGAGAUAUACCGUUGACUUGUUGGCUUUGUUUUCUGGAAUCCCUUCGGCCCUUCAGACGGAAUAAUCUCAUGGUGUAAAUAUGCGUAGAUGGCUGGAAGUUUUUGCAUGAAUGUCCUCUAUUUUGGUGUGGUCCUUAGGUAGAGUGUCAGAUGUUGGAAAUCCUUACUGUUGUUUUAUCUGUAUUAACGUCCUUGGUGGCAGCUUCUGCCAGUUUCCUGCUAUUAUUAUUUUUUACUUCUUUUUAUAUGAAUCAUUUUGAAAUUAACAUGCUAUGACGUGGAAAAUUUCACUCCAUUGACAUUAGUUUCUUUUUGAAGAGUUCAAUGAGUUAUGGAGCAAUGGUGCUUCAUUGGAUAGAAUAUGGCACCAUUUUGUUGUAUAUUUUAUUUCGUUUUCAGCACUGUUCCUGAAGCUGUCAACAUUCUGUCAAAUGCCAUUUAGCUGACUGUACUUUCAUUUAUUUCAGGCCUGCCAUCUUUUGAACUUCUUGUCAAAAGAACUUUUGGGGGACUUUGAGGCUUGUGCUGAGACGUUAAUACCGGUAAAUUAUUUCAUCUUGUAACUUUCAGUAUGCUGUUCAAUGUUCUUGGUUCCUAAUGGUCCUCGAUUGUUUCAGUUGCUUUUUAAGCUGGUUGUAAUUACAGUUCUUGUGAUCGCUGAGUCUGCUGACAACUGCAUAAAAACGGUUUGAAACAUUAUCCUCGUUUUUUUUCUUUUGACGUGGUUCUACAAGAUCGUGUUAAAAUAAUGUCCGAAUGUUCCAGAUGCUACGUAACUGUAAAGUUGCUCGUGUUCUUCCCCGAAUAGCUGACUGUGCCAAAAAUGACCGAAGUGCAAUCCUUCGUGCCAGGUAAGAGUGUCAAGAUAACUACUAUUUGUGCUGCAUUCAUACUUAUUUUGCUUUUUUUUUUUUCAUUGCAGAUGUUGUGAAUAUGCACUCUUAAUUUUAGAGUACUGGGCUGAUGCUCCAGAAAUUCAGCGCUCGGCUGAUCUUUAUGAAGAUCUUAUUAAGUGUUGUGUGGCUGACGCAAUGAGUGAGGUAAAAUUUGUUUUAUGUUGUUUUGUUUCUAGAAUUACCUUAAAUAAAACCUUUACUGUGAUCUGGUCUUGGACACAAAAGAAAUCCCGAAUGUUUGACCAUGUGUGGUCAUAACCGAAUUUUGGGAGCGUUCCUCUUCAGAACGUUCAAGGGUAGGUACUGGGGAGUAAUCAUUGUUAACGCAGGAAAGCAUUCGGAAAGGGUUCCUUUUUUGUUUUUGGUUGGGGUUGAUCACGUGCAUUGCACUUUCUGUCCUCUGCGAUAAUGAUAUUGUGAUAAGACCUACAACGUUUGAAUGCAUAUUGUUUCGCCUAUAUGAGCAUUAGUGAAUGUCAGAGUGUUGGCUCGUCAGCAAUCUGUCUGGUUGACUAUUCUGCAUGGUGUCACGUUGUUGGUUCUGGUUCUAAGAAUGUUGGUAGAGUUUCCCAGAAAGUUACGGAUUGAUACUUAUCUUUACAUCUUUUGUGCAUGCUUAUGAGUUAACUUCAACUCACUUUCUGUGUCAUCUAAUUGCAUAUUGGAUUUGUGUUAGGUACGAUCAACUGCAAGAACAUGCUACAGGAUGUUUGCAAAAACCUGGCCUGAGCGUUCUCGACGCCUAUUCUUAUCUUUUGAUCCUGUUAUCCAAAGGGUAUUUUAUUCACAGUUAUUUGAUAAAUCCCUUCCAACUUCUUCUUUAUUUAUUGUGAAAUUCAUGUUCCGAUAUUGUUUGCUUCUUCACAGUUAAUCAAUGAAGAAGAUGGAGGUAUACAUAAGCGCUAUGCUUCUCCCUCACUCCGUGAGAGAGGAACACAGCUGUCACGUGCUUCAUCUCACAAUCCUUCAUCUGGUGUACCUGGAUAUGGAACAUCUGCUAUUGUUGCUAUGGACAGGAGUGCAAGUAUUAGUUCUGGGGCGUCUCUUUCCUCUGCUAAUCUGCUUCUGUCUCAGACAAAAACUUUUGCAAAAUCAGAAAGAAGCCUUGAGAAUGUGUUGCAUUCCAGUAAGCAGAAGGUUACUGCAAUUGAAAGCUUACUGCGGGGUGUAAGCCUUUCUGACAAGCCCAAUUUAUUGACUCGCUCCAGCAGCUUGGAUCUAGGUAUUGAAUGGAACCAUGAUCUAUUUUUUUUUCCCUGAAUGAUAUCGUCUAUUAAAUCGGUCAAUGUAUCUUUAAGUAGGGCAUGUUCAUUUCAUUCCAUACAGCUCGAUCUAAAACAUCAUACCACACCCUGCUAGUUGAAUUUCUGCUAACUCCAGUAGACAUUUAGUUGAACAUCCCAACAACUGUUAUCGUUGUUCCUAGUGCAGGAGUUGACCCACCAUCGUCUCGUGAUCCGCCAUUUCCACCAGCUGUUCUCUCCUCAACGCACCUCUCAUUGCAGACCUCUGCGUUGGUAGAUUCUAGUGCAACCAACACUGCCCGUGCUAACGUUCGCAAUGGGGGCUCAUUUUUAAGUGAUCUCAUUUCUCAAAAUCAGGCUGCCAGAGAACAGGGUAAGGCGUCGUACCAUGAUAACCUCACGUCUGAUUCUUUGCCAGCCCUAUCAAUGCCAUAUGCAGCAAAAAGGUACUCUGAAAGGCCUCGAGACGAUGGUUUUACUGAAGACCACAGCGACAUGAGGGCUGCUAGGCGACUUCCUUCUUUGCAUAAUGAAAAGCUGUAUCUCGACACUCCUUACAAGGACACAAACUUUAAAGACACUCAUAAUUAUGUUCCAAAUUUCCAAAGGCCUCUUUUAAGAAAACAGAUAACUGGCAGAGCUUCAGCAAGUAGUAGGAACAGCUUUGAUGACACCCAACUCUCUGCUGGUGAAAUGGCUGGCUACAUGGACGGUCCCGCAUCUCUCACCGAUGCUCUUACGGAGGGUUUGAGCCCCAGCUCGGACUGGAUGGCGAGGGUUUCUGCUUUCAAUUAUCUCCAGACAUUAUUGCAGCAAGGUCCCAAGGGCAUUCAGGAAAUAUCUCAACAGUUUGAGAAGGUCAUGAAGCUGUUUUUCCAGCACUUGGAUGAUCCUCACCAUAAAGUUGCCCAGGCGGCCCUGUCGACCCUCGCAGAAAUAAUUCCAGCUUGCAGGAAGCCUUUUGAGAGUUACCUUGAACGGAUGCUGCCUCAUGUAUUUUCCAGGUUGAUUGACCCGAAGGAGUUGGUCAGGCGUCCUUGCUCCACUACCUUGGAAGUCGUCAGCAAGACCUACGGUAUUGAUUCUUUGCUGCCUGCCCUGCUUCGUUCUUUAGAUGAGCAGAGGUCGCCCAAAGCCAAACUGGCUGUCAUUCAGUAUGCAAACAACUCCUUUAACAAACACGCCAUGAACUCCGACGGCUCCAGCAACAGCGGACUUCUUAAACUGUGGCUUGCCAAGUUACUGCCCCUGGUAAGUGAUAAAAACACAAAGCUGAAGGAAGCGGCAGUGACCGGCAUCAUAUCUGUUUACUCCCAUUUUGAUCCGACGGCUGUCCUAAACUUUAUAAUAAGCCUAUCCGUCGAAGACCAAAACUCGCUGAGACGGGCGCUGAAGCAGUAUACUCCCCGUAUUGAGGUUGAUCUUAUGAACUUCUUGCAAAGCAAGAAGGACAGGCAACGCCCAAAAUCCUUUUAUGACCAGCCUGAUACUGUUGGAUCUUCUGAGGAUGGGUAUGCUGGAAUAUCCAAGAAAAGUCAACUUUUUGGAAGAUAUUCUUCAGGUUCCAUUGAUAUGGAGAGUGGCAGGAAGUGGAGUUCCGUACAGGAACCUAGCCAUGUCAGCAGUUCCGCAUUGCUGCCAGCCUCGGAUGAGAGUCAAGACCCUCUGUAUCGAAGCUAUGAUGAGAGCUCUAGCUUCGAGAUUGGCGAUGACGCCCAGGCAAAGGAUACCAAAUUUGGCAGUGAUUCUGUGUCAGGCGGUCCCGGGAACUGGACAAGUCACUCUGGGAAGGUGGAUUCUAGCAUUGAUUUUGCUGGUUCUGCUGUGACUCCACGACUCGAUAUCAGCAGAAUGCUAAGCUCCGAUGUGCAGAGGGCUUCAGGGUUGACCUUGAAUGGUGAAGGCUUAGCUGACGUGGAGUACAGCCAGGAUAAGCUUAUUUUUAGUAAAAGUAGUUCCAAGUCAGCUGCUGGGCCCAGCAUCCCUCAGCUUCUCCACCAGGUCAGUGUGUGAAGAUCCGUAUUAGUGGGGCUUGGAACUUUCCUUCUGUUCUGUGGCAGCCAUUUUAUUUAGUUUCUCUUGAUCUGUAGAUCUGCAAUGGAAAUGAUGAUAAUUCGGGUGCAAGCAAGAGGGACGCUCUACAACAGUUGGCUGAAGCCUCCAAGUCCGACGAUCAAUCUGUGUGGCCUAAGGUUUGCAUUUCUUUUUUAUCAUAUGCACGAAGGUGGUGAAGAUGAUCCGAUAACAUGUAUUCCCCUAGUGGGCAAAGUAAAAGAAUGCAGCUGAAACAUGAUUUUAUUCGAAGACUAUGCAGAUGAAAAAAAUCAUGAUUUUUUUCAUCAUGAUUUGGAAAUUGUUGAUCGUGUUUAUUAAAAUCAAAGUUUUAGAAGGUUGAGAGCAGGGAUGAGAUCAUCGCUAUUCCUCUGAAUAUCCGAUAAAAUGCUAAAAUUUGGAAAAAUAAAAUAAAAAUUUGUCGAUUCUGCUUCACGUCAGGAGCUUCGUUUUAUGUUAAACCAUAACUAUGGGUGCUCCUGCGCUUGCAGUACUUCAAUCAGAUACUGACAGCCGUGCUUGAAGCUCUGGACGAUCCUGAUCCUUCCACCAGGGAGCUCGUUCUAUCACUCAUAGUCGAAAUGCUCGAUCAUCAGGUUCCCGAACUAUCUCGAUGAUUUUUAUUUUUCAAAAUCAUAUUGUGCUCAUCAUUUAAUAAAAAUGCACUAAUUGCUUCAUCCUCACCUUAUUUCCCAACGUCCAGAAAGAUGCCAUGGAGGACUCCGUUGAGAUCGUCAUUGAAAAACUGCUGCAUGCGACCAAAGACAGCGCUGUGAAGGUACUGUGCAUAUUUUUGGGAGCUCCAUCUCCAUGCAAGAAGCUUGCUGCUACGAUCUUCCACCUGACUCCAUAUUUCCCUUUCAGGUAUCCAAUGAAGCCCAGCAGUGUCUGUCGAUUAUACUGUCCAAGUAUGAUCCGUACAGAUGCCUCUCUGUAAGUCGCUUCUCCUUGUAGCUUCUUGGAGGGCACGAUCAAGCCGAAGCCGAAAUCAUUUGUGGCCGAAGCCGAAAUCAUUCUCCCACAAUUUUUACAGGUCGUCGUUCCUCUGCUGGUCAGCGAAGAUGAGAAGAUGCUCGUGACCUGCAUCAACUGUCUGACUAAGGUGAUUUUUAUCUUUUUAGAUUCAAUCUUUUUUUUUUCAAAGGGCGCGUCUAUUUAAGGUGGGUUUUGCUUAAAAUAUUCGAAUUAAAGUGCCGCCAAUCAUUUGAUGAAGAACUUUGCGCAAAGCUGUGUGUCAAUAUGAUUGUGGGGCCUUUCAGCCUCCGCAUUUUUUAUUUUUUUUCCAUCUGGGAAGGACAAGAGCACCCGAAAUAGGGAAGAGCUCCCGUCCCUUUUCUGGUUUCUUCGCUCAAUGCGUUCAUUACGAUCGUUGUUGUCAGAAUAUGUAUGAUUAUAGUAUCUUGAUGAUGCAUCUCCGUGGUGUCAGCUUGUGGGGCGGCUUUCACAGGAGGAGCUGAUGACCCAGCUGCCUUCUUUUCUACCCGCCCUCUUUGAUGCGUUCGGCAACCAGAGUGCAGACGUUCGCAAGGUCUGUUCUCUGUCCUCUCUCUGGAUUAAUCCUCUCUCUGUUUAUUUAUUUAUUUUUAUAUCCGUCGACACUUUCACCCUGCUAGAGAGAGAGGGAGAGAGAGAGAGAGAGAGAGAGUCUUUUUUCCUCUUAUUUUCGGCAUUUUCAAAGUUAAGCGCUGGAUAUGGCUGAUGGCGGGUGGUCUUCUGCAUGGCAGACGGUGGUCUUCUGCCUGGUGGACAUCUACAUCAUGCUGGGGAAAGCCUUCCUGCCGUACCUGGAGGGCCUGAACAGCACGCAGCUGCGGCUGGUGACCAUCUACGCCAACCGGAUCUCGCAGGCGAGGUCGGGCUCUGCCAUCAACGCCACCCACGGCUGACUCCCCCCCGGCGGGCCUCUGCCCCGCUUGGCCGUCGCUGCUGCUGCUGCUGCUGGUGCUGUUUAUUUGGUGAUUUUGUACGCCGAGGGCUCCGCCUCUCUCUGCCGGGCGGUGGGCGUGCCCCCCUCGGCGCCUGCUGGCGGAGUGAGCGCCCUCUCUGGCGCCCCUGGGAAGGGGAGGGAGAGUGCAUGUGUGCGCGUGUGUAGUCUGUGGACAUGGGAUCAGCUCUCGGACUGGUGAUAUCUGGUGGGCCCUUCAUUCUUUCUCUGCCGAAGAAAGCCAUCCGGGCCGUAGACCUAAUCGGUUGCAUCGCACGAGAGGAAGCUUCUCCCGCAGUAUCAUAAUCGACAUAGCGGCGCUGGCCGGAGGCCUAAGAGGAACCUUGCAAAGGAGAGCCUCAGGUCAACCCCUCGGAAGCGCCGCGCUUGCCCGGCCAGAUUGCUCCGAGAGCGUUAUAUCUUUUGAGCCCUCAACGGCCUGGCUGAUCUUUUGACUUGAGCCCCAAGUUGCGACGUAUUUACGUCAGUACCCUUAAUAAUGCACACCGACGAUUGCAAACGGCCUGUGAUGAAAAGGGUUGAAAUGCAACAAAUAUCUUUCGGACGCAUGGGAAUGCAAAAAAGCUCUAGAGAAAGGGGGGAGGAGAACAACUGGGUUAUAAGACUUUCAGGGUAUGAAAGAAAAUGUCGAUGUUUUAUUGUCCACCGUGGAAUUUACCCACUCUUGGACGGUGGGCUAGCGUUAUCCGGGGCAACGGAUAGCGUUGCGUACGUGGCAGCACCCGAAUGGCCGAGGCAACUCGCCUUCGCCUUCGGUGGCUGCGGGUGGCCUCGGACCGCUGUCCGAACCUGCGCGCCCAAUCCCGAUUUUAUUUCCCGAUCAAUUGCGGCGAUCUAGCACAUGCCACGUUGCCUCCCGCGGAUAAAGAGGAAGACAGGAGGGAGGGAGGGAGGAGAGCAGACCGAUAGCCCAAGCGCCGCCGACUUUUCGGCCGAGGACUGAGACUGAUCCCAAUGGCCGCCUCCAGCAUGGCUUCGGCAGCCGCCAGCUUCGCUCUCACCCCCGCCAUCUCCUCCAACGCCGCCGGCAACCCUCGCGCGGUCUCCGUAUUCUUCCCCAGGAGCACCGCCAGGAGGAGCCUCGUCGUCCGCGCCGAGGAGGCCGCCGCGCCGCCGCCCGCCGCCCCACCCGCCGCGGAGGAGGGCAAGCCCGCCGCCGCCGCCGCCCCCAAGCCCCCCCCUCGUGGACCCAAGAAGGGCGCCAAGGUAAACCCCCCCGCUCUCUAUCUAUCUAUCCAUCUAUCUCCAUCUCUCUCUAGGAUCUGAGCCUAUCCCACUCUAUUUCUGUGUCAGGUGAAGAUCCUCAGGAGGGAGUCCUACUGGUUCAACGAUGUUGGCUCUGUGGUCGCCGUUGACCAGGUAGGUCAUCUCUCUCUCUCUCUCUCUCUCUCUGUUCUAUGUGUCUAUUCAUCUAGUCUGUGAACUGAAAGAAGGUUGGACGGUGUGAAUUGUUGCUACUGCAGGACCCGGAGACUCGCUACCCGGUGGUGGUCCGGUUCAGCAGGGUCAACUACGCCAACGUGUCCACCAACAACUACGCCUUGGACGAGGUCAAGGAGGUGAAGUGAGCACGCCGCCGCCUGGCGGAUGAGAGAUUCCGAGUGUCUGGGGAGGUUGACGGGGACUUGAUUUGGGAAUUUGUAUAAACACCCUUCUUCUGUGUAAGCUGUUCUGUUCACCAAACUCUAGUUUAAUUCCGCUUCCUCUACCUUGUGAAAGGCCCAACCCCCCGCAUCAGUCACCGGAAACAGCAUGGGAUGCCCCCCGUGGUUCUGGCCCAAAGAAGAAAAAAAUGGCGGGUUUUUGCCCUAAAUUUUCCUAGUUUCCCCAAGUUUUAUCAGUAACUCCUCCUACCUGGUCUCAUCUCAAGCCAAAAUCGGCCGUGCCAGGGGUUUUCUGUGAUGGGUUCUUCGUAUUUUCUAAGAUUUUUCCUGGAAAUCUCGAUCAUUCUAUCAGCCUUUCCAAAGUUUUUGUGAAUGUUUUUUUUCCUAAGGAAUGCAAUUGCCCAAAGUGAAAGAACUCUCAAAAAUAGAAACCCUGAAUGCGGGAGAGAUGCUUGGAUGAUUACCCGGAAGAAGAAGCCUUUCCUACCAUCUCCGAUCCGCAUGAUCUGCUGCUCUCGAUGCCAACGAUCAGGAGCCUCUCCUACGCACACAUCCAUCCAUCUGAAACCUUACGAUGAGUGUGAGCAGCAAGUUGGCAAAAACAUGGAAGAAGAAAACGAUGAGUCUGUAAAGAAACCUGUGUAGCUUCCAUUCCGCGGCACCUGACUGGAAGGUCGAGGGAAUUGAACUGGUUAGCCAUGAAAAGGGUAGAAAGCCGCCAAAGAGAAGCUAUGUUUCGAAAGCCUUGUUUCAUGGGAGUUGCAGAUGUAGUCUCAGACAGGACGGCCGAACACCAAUCCAAGCCCUGAUCUUUGCAUUAAACUUGAUCAAUGGGUGGUCAAUUGCUCCACCUAGUAGAUUACGGAAAAUGAUUCAAAAUGAGGGAUGCAGUCGACGCUGGUAUCAAACUGGAACAGGCUGCAACACCAGACUCCCUACCAGUGGUUUUGUGCAUUAAUUGUCUAAUAUGCACUUACUAGUUCCUUCCCGAUUUACUGAAUCUGUUGCCAGAGACGAAGUCUAUGCAAAUGAGCAACAGGCCACAAAAGUCUAGCUUCUGGGGGAGGAUCUGAACACGUUUUUUUUCCAAUCUGGAGCCACAGGUUUUGGAAUCAGGUCGAUGGAUGUGGUGUGAAGAUGCUUCUGCAAAGAAAAAUAAGAAGAGACGCUUUCUUCGAAUCCUGAAAUCUGCAAUGAUCCGGAGUCCUCUGUUGUUAAACCAUUUUCCGCGAUCCUUUCAACGCCGUGGUUCUUGGAUCGUUAACUAGCUGUAAACAUUUUAAAAUGACGAUGGUGUGUACCCCACGCUCAUCGAUCUAGACGACCUCGAAGGGGAUUUCUAACGUCAAAAGCACCUUCCGUGCGUCCUUAUCUUAACAGAAGAAGAAUUAAACACUAGAAGUCUCGGGAAAUGGCAGACGGCAUUGAUCUGAACUAGAAGAUCGGCUUGCUCUGUAAUUUUUUCGCAAACGAAAAAAACCUGAACGUAUGACCACACUCUGCAGAGAUGUAGAACCGAGUAAACAGAUCUGUUAGCCAUCAUCACCGAGAAGAAUUCAGCACAUUACUCCCGAAGGAAUCCACCAUCGACAGAGAGAUCCUUCCCCGCCACCGCAGCCAGCACCAAGGUCCUCCCCGGCGAUCGCCUUCUUCGUCGGCUCCCUUCUCCGUCAUCCUCCGCCACCGGAAGGAACUCCAGAAUACGCGCCGGCCAGGACGGGUGAACAGAACGAUCCUUUCCCGCUCAAACCUCCCGAUUAACUUCAUCCCGUUCUUCACAUUUACUUAACGUAACUCGACGAGGAAGGUCGUGGGUGUGCUGAGAUCGGACGGCCGAAGAUCUACGAUCGGGCAGUUGAAUGAGGAGCCACGUAACGAUACUCUGUGCCGUAGACCCCUGGAACGGCCCUUUUGAGUUUUCUGAGGCUAAGAAGGACUCGGGCUCUCUGAUCAAACCAGGGGAGCUUCUGGUGGUCGGGGAAUAUGGCGGAGCGAAUGAAGUGAAGCAGAGGAGGGGAAGGGGGGGUUGGGGGGGAGGAUAUGAUCUCCAUGGCGGCUAAUUCCUUCUUCCUUCCCUGUUCUUCACCAAGAAUCCAGUCCGAGUGUCUAGUUAUCGGCCGCGGGAUUCGAUCUUCUUCGUCUUCUCUGCCCCCUCCCCUGCUCCUGGGGAGCAACGUCCGUUUCGUCCUCUCUACGCUACGCAGAAGGAAAUGGAGAAGGGAUCUCGCCCGCGUAUCCUGCUCGGCUUCGAACGAACCCUCUCCGCCCGAGAUUAGGUAACUUGAAGUGGUUCCAUCUGUUUCCGGCUGCUUUUGGCUUUGAUUUGGUAGGUACACGGAGAAGGUUUUAGAAAAUUGGGGACCAGUGACCUCGAAAGAAAUGAGAAUCUGAACCAACCCUACUCUCUAUGUUUAUAUUUCUCAUUUUCACUGGUGAGGUUGCGCGCCGGGUCUUGAGUGGAAGUGCGAAGCCGUCCAAACAACUGGAAAGCGCGACAUCCAUUCUCAAAGUCUUUAACCCCGCAUGAUCAUCCGUUUCAUGACGAUCACAAAGAGAAUGACUCUAUGGCCACUGCUAGAACGUGUGAAUUACUUUUGGAUCCGCAGGACUGUCUCGGAAUACUUCACCUCCAGCAAGCGCCAAAAAUGGCCCCUAGAUGAUCGUCCAUCUAAAUAUGAUUCACAUUUAGUGAGCCUUCGCGCUGUACUGAUCGUCUCACCUACUUCAUUGUGUAUGGGAAUUCUCGAGUACCCUCGUGCAAUUAUAGUUUGUAGCAUAUUGUAAGGAUGGUCAACCAUCUAAUGGAGAGUAGGUUACUUCCCAGUGUUUUAAAUAAGGGGAGGAGGGUAUCAGAAUAUGAUCCCCACACUGAACAAGAGUUUUUUUUGUUCUUUGAUCUCCAAAUCAAUGAUUUAAGAAUAAAAAUGUUUGAUAAACAGUUAUCCUUGUUUCUGAACUUGUUUUUUUUGAUGUACACAUCUCUUGCCUUUCGCUGAUGUAAUAGUUGCAUCAACAGAAUAACCCUCGGAUAUUACAGGGUCUAAUUUUUCAGGCGGGAUCCCACACUUAGAUGCAGGAAUAAAAUAUGCCUGCACAGAAGGAAUCAGUGAUGGAUUGAUCUUAGAGUUGAUUCCCUGAUUUGAGGUAGAUGGCCGGUUGGCUGAGUAUUCUGAAAAUUGAAUGACUAAAGUUCACUCGCUAUUUGUUAAGGCUUUAUUUUCCGCGGAUGAAAAGAUUUGCAUUCUGAUGAACACUGUAGGAAUGUUUGAAUGAUCUAGUAUAAGUUUUUCUCGCAUGAGAGGUGAUAUCUCUAUGAAGCGGCGAUCUGGUAUGACCUCUUUUUUCAGGGAGGAGCGAGGAUCAUACUGUUGUUUACACCAGCAAAGAGAAGGGAUUCAUGGUGCGUUGCGAGUAUUUCCGAUGUUAUAGAUACAUAAAGAGUAUUCGGGCCUUCUGUCAGUUAAAAAUAGAACCGCUAUUCUCGCUGGUACUAAUCUAUCGGUUCCCUUUCAAGCAGAAACUAGAUCAAGUCUGAGUCGAAAAUCUUGAACCACAUUGGAUAGAAUGAGUCAGACUUUAUUUUCGUCUGUUUGUUAGUAUUGGGUACUGUUUGGUUGUCAUUGUCCCCAGAAAUUUUGUUUAUUUAUUAUUUUUGGUUUUCACUAGAUUACGGAAGGUCUGCUUCGUUCCCCCUCCACCCCCUCUCACGUCAUUCCUGGUCCCAUUUUCUUUAAAAUAAUAUUCUCUUGUUACGUAUUACGUUUAUCCUCGUUACUUCAAAUUAAUGAAUGCGAUACUGUAGGAUGCUUAUUCAUGGCAAGGUCCCUUCCUUGAGGUGCGCAAGAUAAAUAUAGGGCACCCAUCGUCCAUCCUCUCCAUGGUCCUUUGAAAAUUCACCUUCCAUUUUUUGGAGGUGGGACCAUCGCAAUCACAUCACAAAUGUGGCAUUGAUAUUCGCUGUUUAUCUUGAGAAGAUGUUUUUCCAUUUGAGCUGCCAUCCUAUAAUCUUGAUUUCUAGCUGCGAAUAUCUUCAAGUUUAGUAGAUUCCCUAACCCAGGUAGCCUCAUCAUCUCCUAGAAAACCGUGCAUAUCGACACCUAGACUUAUUUGCGGUGAUCUGGAACUUCCAUACCGGUGGGAUAUUGAUGGAAGGUAAUCUGUUUUCCUCUCGUGCCCCACCUUGGUACCACUCUUUCUACUAAGAUCUUUUUUCAUAUAGUCUACGCUGAAAAUAAAUUGUAAAUAAGACCGUCAAUAUUUUUUAAAGCUCAAUUUCUUUGACAAUAAAUCGUUUCAGUUAUAUUUGGCACCAUUUUUUACAUUUUUCCGGUGGGCGAAUUACAUUUCUGAAAACAGAGGUGGGGUAAUGUGCCUCAUUUAUUUUUUCCAGUCACAUGCUAGAUUAAUGCUAGACUAAUGCUAUUUCCCUGUGGUUCUUAGGAACCCAUGAUUAUUUUCUGGUCGAGGCCUCUUGUGAUCCAGAUUUCUUUUCUUCUUCAGCUCCACGGCCAGGAUACGGAGCGAGGUUCUCUCUCCAUUCCGAUCCGUGCGCAUGUUCUUCUACCUCGCCUUCAUAGCGAGUGGCUCACUUGGGGGGCUGAUAGCCCUCACACAGCUGACCGCUGCCCUGGCCAAUUCAUCAAGAGCAGCGCAAGUCCCGGACAUUUUAUAUGGUCUUGGCAUAGAUUUUGGAGCAGUUGCCCUAUUUGCCUUUCUCUAUUCGAGGGAGAGGAACGCUAAGAAUGCCCAGUUGGCCAGGCUAUCUAGAGAAGAGAGCCUCUCCAAUCUUAGGCUGCGAGUUGACGACGAGAGGGUUAUCGCUGUCAGCGCCCUGCGAGGGCUCGCCAGGCUCGUCAUCAUCUCCGGCCCUGCGAGCUUCAUAUCCGAGAGCUUCCAGAGCAGCAUCCCUUUCUCUGAGGCGCUCCUUGACAGAGGGGUCCUGAUCGUCCCUUUUGCCACUGAUGGAAACCCGCCCGCCAUUGAUUUUCCAGAGAGCAGCCAGGAGGAUCCGGCUCUCGUCCAGAGGAGGAGGAGACUCUGGCAGUUGACUCCCGUUUACGCCUCCGAGUGGUCAAAGUAAGAUCAUAUAUCCGCAGGAGCUUUCCUAGAUCGGCGCCCGCUUCUCAUUACCAGUCUGAUCCUGGAAUGGAUGGUUGCAUCGCAGGUGGCUAGACGAACAGAAGAAAAUGGCUAAUGUCGCCGUUGACUCCCCAGUGUAAGUAUUUUUUUCCUGGCCUUCAUUUCCUUUUAUUAAUAUAAUAUAUUUCUGUAUAAUAUUUAUAAAUUUCGAACGAAUUUCGAAUAUUGGGUAAAUAUUAGUUUAAAUACACUUCUUCUAUGCGUUGGGCGAUGACGUGGUCAUUUAUCUGAGAAACAUGUUCUUCGUGUUGAAGGUAUCUCUCUCUGCGGAUGGACGGCCGUGUCCGGGGCAGCGGGGUCGGCAGCCCUCCCUGGAACGCUUUCAUCGCCCAGCUGCCCCCCGUUAAGGGCAUCUGGUCAGGCCUCCUCGAUGGCAUGGACGGCAGAGUCUGACUCCACCCUUGCUGCCUCACAAAGUCAACCCCCCUGUGCGCAUUUAUUUGCCCUUUUUUCCCCCUUUAUAGAAUGGGAUUUUUCUAUUUUUCCUUCGUUAUUGGAUUAAUAUGACACCAAAUAGGUCAAAUAAUAAUCGUAUAAUCACGUGAACAAAUUAAUGGCAUUUAUUUUUCGAUAUUUUCUCUCUUUCGCUCCCCCGCCCCCCCGACAAAGAUAGCCAUAAUGGUGAUUUUCACUAGACGGGCCCGUAUCAUAAGAAGGAACCGAGGAAUUUCCUCUGCAAUCAAUCGUUGACUGAAUCACGUGUGACGGGGUUAUCCGGAAAGUCAAAGCCGAUGUCAGGUUACAAUCAUGGGCCAGGAUCCCUGUUUUCCCUUAUCAGCUUUUCUCGAUCCUUGCAACCGUGUCGGUCCCCCAGUACCCGACGUUGACUACCGACAACCCCACGCGGAGGAUGACGAUCUCCCUCUCGUCGUGACCCCUCGUUGUGCUCGAUUUUGACCGGGUUCCCUUCCACCCCACCCACCGCAUCAUGGAUUCAUCGAUAGAAGAAAGAGGAGCCGGUCCUCCUCCGAGGGUAUUGUUGACAUUUUACGUUGCGUGAUUGUCAACGGGACCUCUGUGGAGCGCCGCAGCCUUUUCCGAAAACUGAGCUGAUUAAAGAAAUAAUGAGCACACAACGCCGGUAGACUAAACGUUCUCUCCUUCGGUCAACGGGGAUUUGACCAUCGUCCCAAAAAUGGGCUAUCCCCGGGCGUACGGCCGGAUGAUUAAGGACCUCUGACCGAGUGUCCCCUCCGAAGGGUAUUACCGUCCUUUACAUAUUGGUCCAAGUCAUCACGAAGAAGACAAGCUGCACCCGGAAGGAUAUAUAUAUAUACAUAUGUAUCUCCACAAGUAACCGAUACCGGUGGGUACACAUCUGCGGGAGCGGGUGACGUGGACGGCUGCUGAUGAGGAGGACCAAUCGUGUCGCGGAGCCGGGUUGACUAAUGUCCAUCCCGACGUUUACGUGCAAGAUUUUUUUAAGAAUAAUAUUUUUAGAGUAAUAACGACGACAUGGGGAGAGAUUUGGAGGGUCAAGAUUCGCUGAUGGCGUCUGCAACGGGCCCCACCUAUUACGUCCAGCGCCGUCCAUCUCUACAUUGCCGCGAACCCUCCUGUCGUUCAGCUACGGAAAACUCUCUCUCUGGUCUCUCUGGUCUCUGUGUUCGUCUCUGUUCUCCCUCUGGAGGUCCCGGCUCGUUCCUCCGAUCGGGAGUCAAGGGAGUCGUCACGGUCGCAUCACUGCCUCUGGGGGCUCGACUCGCAGCAGAAAGGAGCGGGGGAUAUCGAGGAGAGCUGUCUGGCCAGGGACAAGGUGAGGCGAUGGCUUGUUCUGUUUCGAUCCCCUUUCCCGCUCUUCCGGGCCGUGCAGGAUGCAGGUCCAGGCGGGGGACGAUCCAGAGAGCACCACCGCUCCAUCGUCUUCGUUUCUGCGACCGGCUGGAGAAUAUUCGGAGGCGUACCUUCCCCGGUCCCUUCUCAGCCCCCUCACCAAGUCGGCCUUCAGGCUUCCCCUCGUCUAGAACUCACGAACGGCCUGCGUUGUCCUCUGUGGGGAUUAUUUCUUCCCCUGGUGUCGUCGGGGGCCGAUUAAGCCUCUGUCGUGUCCUCCUCUCUAUUUGAAUGUUCCUUGCCCUGCUUGGGCCGCGGUUUCUUUCUUCCUUUCUUUAUUUCUUUAUUUAUAUAAGUGGAAACGCAGCCGAUUUUCAGCGAUUCUCGUUUUCCAGCGCGUGAUUCCCUCUCAACUUGUUCUUCAGAGGUAGAAUCAUUCUCUGCGAUGCGUAUAAUCGCCGACUCCUAGGCCCAGACUGCGGGAGUUGAGUUAAAUUCCUGAAUUAUUGAAGCUCAGCAAUACGGUGUAGCUUUCUGAGCUCCUGUGAUGAUCGCGGACGAAAAUGGAGAUAGAUCUGUGGGGUUUCUUCUUGGCUGUUUCAUCCAUUGAUUUGAUUGUCCCACCCUGUUCUCGUCUGCAGGAGGAGGAGAAACGAGCUAUAAGGAGAUCGAGGAGGAGGAGGAAGAAGAAGAAGAAGAAGAAGAAGAGAUGAGCACCCUCAAGGUGGGGGUGGAGGUUGCGGGGGCUCAGAACCUCAUAGCGAAGGACGGGCAGGGCUCCUCGAGCUCCUUCGUGGAGCUCCACUUCGCCGACCAAAAGUUCCGCACCUCGACGAAGACGGACCUCAACCCCGUGUGGAACGAACGCUUCUACUUCGACGUGCCGGACCCCGACCUGCUCCCUCAUUAUGCGCUAGAAGCGUUCGUCUACAGCGCCUCCGGCGGCAGCCUUUCCGCCAAGUCCUUCCUCGGAAAGGUGCGCCUCGUCGGAACCUCCUUCGUCCCCUACUCUGACGCGGUGGUCUUGCAGUGCCCUCUCGAGAAGCGCGGCAUCUUCUCCCGCGUCAGAGGGGAGCUUGGCCUCAAGGUCUACGUCACCGACGACCCCUCGGUCCGGCCGUCCAACCCUCUGCCGGCGAUCGACCCCUCCCUCAACAACCCUCCGCCGUCUCCGAUCUUCCGAGCUCAGGCGCCGCCUGCAAGCCCGCGCGCGGGCAUGUCCCCGGAGAAGAAGGCGUCCAGGUCGAGGCAGUCGUUCCAUCACCUCCCCAAGGGGAAGCGCUCGCCGGCGACGGCGAAGUCGACGGCGUAUGAGAUGAGGGCGGACUCAUCCGCGGCGGCGAGGGUCUUUGCCGCGGUACCUUCGUCGUCGUCGGCGGCGGCGGAGGCGAGGGUCUUUGCCGCGGUACCUUCGUCGUCGUCGGCGGCGAAGCAGGGUUUCAAAGCGGCGCCGAAGUUUCAAAGCGGCCAUGGCGGGCAGCCCUUUAAACCGCGCAUGGGGUCCCCCGAUAGGAGGGUGGGUAGUGGCUACGACCUCGUGGACCAAAUGGAGUACCUCUUCGUGCGGGUGGUGAGGGGCCGGAACCUGGCGGCCAUGGAGCUCGCCGGCAACGUCGACCCUUACGUGGAGGUGAGGCUGGGGAACUACAAGGGGCGGACGAGGAGCUUCGAGAAGAACCAGAACCCAGAGUGGAACCAGGUCUUCGCCUUCGCCAGAGACCAGCUGCAAGCCUCCGAGCUGGAGGUGGUCGUCAAGGAAAAAUCCCUGCUCAGGGACGACCAUCUGGGGCUGGUCCGCCUCGACGUCUACGAGGUGCCGAGGCGCGUGCCCCCGGACAGCCCCCUCGCCCCGGAGUGGUACCGGCUUGAGAACAAGAAGGGGGAGAAGCUCAUGUGCGAGCUCAUGCUGGCCGUCUGGUUCGGCUCGCAGGCGGACGAGACCUUCCCCGACGCCGUGAUCUCAGAUGCGAUGGUGACCUCGGAGGAGAGCCCCGCCAGCGCUCACCUGCGGGGCAAGGUCUACCACGCGCCUCGGCUCUGGUACAUCCGGGUCAGGAUCAUCAAAGCCCAGGACAUCGUGCCGGCGGGGGACGAGGGCAAGCCGGCGGAGGUGAGAGUCAGUGCCCAGGUGGGGAACCAGAUCCUGACAACCAGCUACGUCUGGACCGUAAACAUGGCGGCCACCUGGAACAAGGAGUUCAUGUUCGUCGCCGCCGAGCCCUUCGAGGAGCACCUGGUGCUCAAGUUGGAGGAGAAGGUCGGGGGUUCCAACAAGAGCGAGGAGACGGGGACCUACGCCAUCCAUCUGGCCAUCCUGGACAAGCGCCACGACGACCGCUCCCCGCCGGAGAUCUGGUGCCGCCUCGAGAAGCCCGGGCUCCUCGACGUCGACCAGCUGAAGAAGAACAAGUUCGCCACCCAUCUCAACUUCGUCGCCUACCUCGACGGGGGCUACCACGUCUUCGACGAGCCAACCCAUUUUAGCAGCGACCUCCGGCCCACGGCGAGGGAGCUGAAGAAGUCGCCGAUCGGGCUGCUGGAGCUUGGCAUACGCCAGGCCGUGGGGCUCUCCCCGAUCAAGACCUACGAGGGGAAGGGCUCCUGCAACGCCUACUGCGUGGCCAAGUACGGCAACAAGUGGGUGCGCACCAGGACGGUGCUGAACAGCCUGCGACCGAGGUUCAACGAGCAGUACACCUGGGAUGUGUACGAUCUGGCCACGGUCCUCACGGUGGCGGUCUUCGACAACGGCCAGAUCCAGCUCGAUGAGAAGGGCUCCGCCGCCGCCGUCGCCACCGCCGCGAAGGACACGAUCAUCGGCAAGGUGCGGAUCCGGCUGUCCACUCUGGAUGGCGAGCGCGUGUACAGUGACUCGUAUCCCCUCCUGGCGCUGCGCAACACCGGCGUCAAGAGGAUGGGCGAGCUCCAACUGGCCGUGCGGUUCUCCUCCGUGUCGACAGUAAGCACACUGUUUACGUACAUCCGGCCGCCUUUUCCGAAGAUCCACUACACGCGCCCGCUGGCGAAUCUGGACCAGUCGCGACUCCAGAACAAGGCGGCGGAUGUAGUGGUAGAGCGUCUGGGCCGGAUGGAGCCGCCGCUGAGGAGGGAGGUGAUCCUUUACGUCUCCGAGAUGAGUUCCAACACGUGGGGCAUGCGGAAGGGAAGGGCGAACUUCUUCAGGCUCGUGGCCCUCUUCUCCGGCGCGUCGGCGAUGUGGAAGUGGUUCGACGACGUGUGCUGGUGGAAGAACACCAUGACGACUAUCCUCGUCCACCUCCUGUUUGUCAUUUUGGUGGGCUUCCCGGAGCUCAUCCUCCCCACCGCCUUCCUGUACAUGUUCGUCACGGGCCUGUGGAACUACCUCCACCGGCCCCAACAGCCGGCCCAGAUAGAUACGGCGCUCUCCAGGGUCGACGACGCCAGCCGCGACGAUCUGGACGAGGAGCUCGACGACUUCCCCAGCAAACGCGACCCCACCACCGUCCGCGACCGGUACGAUCGCCUGAGAAGCAUUGCUGGCCAGGCAGUGACGACGGCCGGCUAUAUCGCCACCCAGGGAGAACGGAUCCAGGCGCUGCUCACCUGGAGGGACCGCCGCGCCACCGGCAUCUUCUUGGUCUUCUGCCUCCUCGCCGCCCUUUUUCUCUAUGUGAUCCCCUUCAGGAUCGUCUGCAUCCUCUCCGGCUUCUACGUGAUGAGGUACCCCAAGUUUAGGUCGAAGGUCCCGUUGUGGCCGACCCACUUCUUCCGGCGACUCCCCGCCAGAGUAGACAGCUUGCUGUAGGGUGAGUGGGACCUCUCUGCCUCCCUCCACCUCGGUCAUCUCCAGUGGUAUGUGACUCGAGAAGAAGAAGAAGAAGAAGAAGCAGCGGCCAGAGCUCCGUGGAGGACGACGACCUGGGGGCUGCCGGAUGGGCCCAUCCGGUGCGGCUUGUUCGCUUUGGGCCUUGUGAGCUAAUUAUGGAGACCAAGAUGGAAAAAAAAAAUGUAAAGUGGACUUGGGUCCGUCUGUAAAUGGGCUUUUGUUCGGAGACGGCCCCGUUGACCUCGCACACUGUUAUUUGCGGACACGGGCAUCGUCGCAUUUGUCGAGUUCACCACUGGCUGUCUGGCUAUAUACAUUAGUAUGUCAAUAUGCAUGUUUAUUUUCAUAUUUAUAUAUUCUUAAAACAGAUAAUCUGUUUAUAGUACGAUAUGCCAUUUCUUCGUAUUUGCGAUCAAUUAAAAUAUUUUAAAACCGUAUGUAUGUAAUAAAUUGAUGCCCAUGUCAAACAGUCAAUCUAAUGGAGUACAUAUCCGGCGCCUAGAUUGAGCCCCCAUUUAAUUUUUUUUUAUUUCCGCCACUUUAUUUUUUUAGCGGCUCGUAAAGAUAAAUAAAUAUUAUGACGUCAUAUGUAUUUUUGUCAACCCUCUCGCCUCCAUUUAGCGGGACGUGAUCCCAAAAAUUGGUAAUAAAAAAGUCAAACAAAUCUACAACCUCUAUAUUAGCUCAUUAAUAAACAAAUACUUGGUUCCAUAUCUUGUAUUUUUAUUUAAUUCACAACGGCUUUUGAUUUCUAUCUGUUCAUGACCGAUGUCGAUCAAUGCGGGUGGAAAUUGACUACACAUUAGAAUAGAGUCCAUCCAUCAGCUAGAGGCCAAAAAAGUCAACGCUUCGCAUAUCACUCCCUUCUUUUAUCAUCACGUGCAUUAUGAAAUGUAAAGAGGGAUUAGCCGGUGGGGAGGAUAAUUAGGCUACAUUACGCAUCUAUAGGGUCCAAAUGUUCUUAUAAAAUGAAAGUGAGGGGGGAAAGGGAAAAUACGUGGUCAAUUAUUAGCGACGUCCCAAGCAAACUUAGCGUACACCGCCCGUGAGUCCCCUCUUAAAUGGUCGGUGCCACGUGUACAUACAUGACGUCAUCUCCAGUGCGGACCCGUGUCUCGCUUCUCUCGCCGACUAGCUGGCGACCCGGGCGGCAUCCGCUCACCGGAGGUAUCUCAACAGAAACGAUCACCGCCUUUCUUACUCGAUAUCGGAGGCAACGGUCGGCGUAGCUGGCGCAGGGCAGUUAACAGUAUCACUCUGGCCCCCCGGGUCAGCCCUCUGGACCGUUGCCCGGGAAUCGGACGGCUAAGGAGCAGGCAUCGGGGUCGGAGAAUCUCCGUGAUGGGGUUCUGUGGUUGCACAGGGUCUCCGUGUUUGUCGGUUUGUACUGUCCAGCGCGGCCAACACCUCAGCAGACGGCCGUAGCGGAAACCGUCCCCUCUACUUCUCUCCGUCACCGUUAAAAUAUAACAAUCAAUUAACCGUUCGCUGAAAAAUGUAUAAAUAAUUUCGUCGAGGGAUGUAAAAGAAAUUUAAAUAAAUAAAAUAUUAAAAACGUUGGAAACAUUGGUUGGUAAUUAGUUAUUUAUGGGCACUCAUAAUUGUCCUAUCAUCUCAUGGUUAUUUUCCCGAAUAUUAGAUGCCAUUGACCUUUUUAAUUAACCAUUUAUAUGCAUAAAUGAGCAGAUAUUUUUCAUAAUAGCUUGUCACGUAUGAGGGUAACUUAUUUAAAAACCCUUCAAUGUUAAGUACCUUAUAUUUUCGCCCUAUUUUUCGAUUACCGAGUUACCGGGAGCAGGGAGCAACCCUUUACCCGUGUGACGGCCCUCUUGACGCCGUUCAUAUUGCCGUUACGGCCGCGCCUUCGCGCCUAUCAGUUAGACGGUGCAGACGGUAAGCUCACGGGACACUCAUUCUAUCCUCACUCGCGGGUGACCUCUGAAGUGCUCUACGGGGCAUCAUCGUCUACGAACUCGAGCAAGCGAGGCAGAGGAGAGAGGAGAGAGGAGAGAGGAGAGAGAGCGAGAGAGAGAGAGAGGGAGGAAGGGAGGGAGAGAUUUUGCCGUCGGAGUACACCACCGCCAUUACCAGCUGCAGCAAUGUGCCGAAGGAACCGCCGGCCUUCGCCGGCUCUCCAGGGUAGGUGUUAGCAGGUCGGUUCAUGGUCUCCUCGGUGGAGGCGGGAGAUCUGUGGGGAUGGAAUCAGGGAGGGGGAAGGAGGAGGAGGGGGAGGGCUCCGGCGUCCCACCGUGGGUCGUGAGACGGGUCUCCGAGAUUAAGAUCUCGGGCGAGUUCACAACGUUAGUUCCUUCUGGUGCCGCGGUUUUCCUGAGUUUGCUCCGUCGGCGGUUUCUAUGGCGUGGGAUCGCUUCUUGGUCGAUUUGUGUAGGGUGGAGUAUACUCUGUGGUUAUUUCUCUCUAGCUCUCAGAUCACUUCAUCCGGAGCAGCGCGUAGUGGAUUUCCCGAUCAGAUGCGGCUUCAUUUACUUCUUUCCCCAUUAUUUUUAGAGAUGCGUUAUGCAUCUCUCUCGGUCUCUCUAUCUACUCUCCGGGUCGAUUUCAUCCUCUGAAGGCAGCCGUUCGCCUGAUUAUUUUGGGGAAAUACGAGAGAGGUACCGAUUUCUCGGCUUCGGAUUAUUUUUUCCUGGGCGUGCAAAUAAUGCAGACCGUCCAAUUGCUUUCCAGGUGCUCCUCAAGCCUGUUCAGAUCAUCUUCAAGGUGUUCCUUGAACAUUCAUUUUUAGUUUUUUUGCUGAGAUUUUCGGACGUCGUUUCUCUCCAGGAAUAAAAUUCGUCUUUCACUGUUUAGAUAAUUUUAAUUUUUUUCUGCUAUUUCCGAUUUUCUUUUUCUGCCGAUGCAGGCUUUUUGCCCGCCCGUUGUUCCCUCGGAUCUUCCUCUACCUUGAUUUUAGUUUAUUUUUUCAGAAAUUCUUCCCCAAUCUGCACUGUUCGUCCCCUUUCGUAUCUCCCAUUCCCCUGUCUCCUCGCCGCAGCCUUUCUCCCUCAUGAUUCCCUUUUUCCCUUUCUUUCCUUGGCUGGCCUCUGCGGAAGCUCCUCGACCCGCUGAGGCCGGUUGCUUCAUCCGUCCGCUUUUCCACUGUUCUUGUACCCAGAUGCCGAUUCUGAUCAGGAAGGGGAGUCUUGUUCAUGCCGUCAUUCUCCGGGGGGAGGGAGGGUGGGGGGUGAGGGAAGAGGCUCGAACUAGGGCUUAGGUUAUUUCUUCUGCAUCUGCAUUCCGAGGGCUUUCGUGCCCAGAAACCUUCAGCAUUGCCCUGAGCGAAGCUUCUAAUCCGUCCUUCAUGGGGGUUUUUGCAGGCUGAUCCGAGAGGGCUGGCGUCAGAUCUCCAGUGUUCCGGCUCGAGGAUGGUCUGCUCAGUGACGCCGGUGAGGGAUCUCUGUCGACUCGUCGUGGCCCGGGAGGAAUGGGAGAGGUGGGGGGGGAUGGAGUCUGAGGAUCGUCUCUUCGCUGUUCUCUGAGACUUGCAGGCGCCGAGAUGAACGAGACGCAGAGUUGGAAGGCGGAGAGGCCGAUCCCGGGAUGCAUGGGGAGGAUGAUUAACAUCUUCGGCUCGAGUGUGGGAAUGGCCGGGACGAAGAUGCUCACAGACAGACCUCACCGAGACGGUGAGCUCUCGAGCUAUAGAUUCGUCUCCUCCGUGCUUUCCUCUGAUAAUCUGCUAUGAACUCUCAUCGAUCUUCAAACGCCAUCGGAUUCUAUUUCUCAUCAGGUUUUGUCUCCGGCAAUCGACCUUACACGCCGAGGAACGCGGCAGAUCCUGUUUCUGCUCCGACGGAUGACAGACAACCAGUAAGCAGCGCUUCGUCACGCGGCUUCUGAUCAUCCGAGAGCAAGAUCUGUUCUUGUCCUCUGAUUUUGAUUCGCCCUCAGGUGGCUUGCGACCCCAGAAGGAGUUCACCAGGCAGGAGACCCGGAGGAACGCCGAUGAAGAUGCUCAUUGCCCACGAGAUGUCCAAGGAGACGGAGAAUAAGCAAAAGCCGCCCGGUGUUGUCGCCAGGUUGAUGGGGCUCGAUGCCCUUCCAGUGCAGCGGCCAGCUGCGAGCCCGCAAGGCGCUUACCAGCAUAAUGUCCACCUUCCUCAGCUCAGAGGAGAAGCCCCGGUCCGCGGGCAGCAGGAGAAGUCUGCCCAGCAGGAUGUGUGCAAGGAUGUCUACGAGGUGUGGCCGCAGCAGCCCCAGCCGAGCCAUUGCAGAGACCAGCAGCAGCCGUUGCCGAGCGAGAAGAGGAUGGACCUCGUCCGGCAGAAGUUCAUGGAGGCGAAGCGGCUGGCUACAGACCAGAGACUCCUCCAGUCGAAGGAGUUCCAGGACGCCCUCGAGGUCCUGAGCUCCAACAGAGACCUGUUCCUCAAGUUCCUGGAAGAGCCCAAUUCCCUGUUCUCGCAUCAUCUCCAGGAGCUCCAGGGCCCCCCUGCGGCAAUGGCGGUGCCCCAGACGAAGCAGAUCACGGUGUUGAAGCCGUCGAAAUCUGUGGAGGCCGAGAGCGGCAAGGACAACCCGCGGAGGCACCGUCACCAGGCUGCAGAAGAUGAUCCAUCCGAGAAGAAAAGGGCCGGCAGGGCGGGCUCCGGCUUCGUUCAGCCCAAGGUGGAGAGCUUGCCCCAGCCGACGCGGAUUGUGGUCUUGAAGCCCAGUCCCAGGAAGCCUCAAGAUCCGAACCCUGCAACGGGGUUCGGCGAUGGCGGGGGAGCUCCUCCUGAAGGGGUGGUCGCCGAUGAGGCCAGAGGAUCGAGAGAUGUGGCGAAGGAGAUCACUCGGCAGAUGCGGGAGAGCCUGAGCGGCAACAGGAGGGACGACACGUUGCUGUCCUCGGUCCUGUCCAAUGGGUACAUUGGGGACGAGAGCUCCUUCAACAGGUCGGAGAACGAGUUCAUCGAGGAUGACCCUGGUAACUUCAGUGAUUCCGAGAUCGUGUCGCCCACCUCGCGGUACUCUUGGGAUCAUGUCAACAGGUUCGGCAGCCCCUUCUCCCUCUCUUCUGUGAGCAGAGCGUCCUACUCUCCAGAGUCCUCGGUGAUCAGAGAGGCCAAGAAGCGGCUCUCGGAGAGGUGGGCGAUGGUGGCGUCGGGCGGGGGCAGCAGCAGAGAUCAGCAGAGGCAAGUCCGCCGGAGCUCGAGCACCUUGGGGGAGAUGCUCGCCAUCCCCGAGAAGAAGGAAGAGUGCGAUGGAGGGCUUGGUGUGUCGAGCAGCCGGUCGUGCGGCGGAGACCAAGAUGCGAGGCUGCUGGUGCCCAGUCCGCCCAUUGCUGAGAAUCUGAUCGAGAGCGGCGGUGCGGAGUCCCCAAGGAAGCUUCUUCGGUCGAAAUCUGUUCCUGCAUCUUCUUCGACGUUCGAUAAUGGCGGGCCGACUGCGGAAGGGUCCACCUCCCAGGUCGAGAACCCCAUUGCUCCAAAAGAUCCCAACAGGCCCAGGAGCGGGAAGACCUUCCUCAAGGGCAAAGUCUCGAGCUUGUUCUUCUCCAAGAGCAAGAAGUCGAACAGAGAGAAAGCCGAUCCGUUUCCCGUCGCCGCCGCCGCCGCCGGCGGUGGGGUUCCGUCGGUGAAUCCUAAAUGCAAUGCCGAGGGCCUUCCUGAUGCUAUGCGAGGAGAAGCCCCGAUUCCCAAGGAGUUGACUUGCAGAGGUUCUUCUCCUGCUUCGUCAGGAAAUGGAGCAAAACGAGCCGCUUCGAAUCCAAAGGUUCAGUCGCACGGACUUUUAUCUUUGUUAACAAUUUAGAGUUUCUUGGUCUAGUUUGAGGGAUACGAUCGGAUGAAAUCACGAAGAACAGUAGAACUUGUUUCGUUCUUUCGUGAUGAAAAUUUUGAUUUGUGUGUAGGCUGCUUCGUCUCAGACGAAGGUUGCAAGAACAGCCGAGAUCACCGGCGAGCAGCCCAGCCCGGUCUCAGUUUUGGAUGUGUCGUUCGAGGAUGAGGCGAACAGUAGCUCUUCUCAGUCCUCCGAGGGCGGCGGCGCCUCCAAUCUGGACUGCCGGCGUGAGUCCCAGGAAACCCAUCUCCGUCCUCCUUCCUCCUCCUAUGGGAAUUCAAUUCCUGGGCCGAGAUUUCUUUAUGCUGAUUCAGUCCUUCGCCUGCGCAGAGCUGAUCUCUAGAUCGCCGCCGAUUGAGUCGGUCGCCCGUUCGCUGUCUCGCUCGCAGCCGAAGCUCGCGAGGAGCUCGUCCUUGGCGGAAGAGUGUCAGGAGCAUUACUCAUUCGUGAAGUCCCUGCUCUCCUCCGCCGGCCUCGGCGGCGAGGCGCCCCCCACGGCGGCAGCGCUGGCGAGGUGGCAUUCGCUGGAGAGCCCCCUGGACCCUUCCCUCCUGGACAAGUUCUUGGAGAGGAAGGACGAGGACGCCAAGUGCAGGGAGAGGAGGUCUAGCCAGCGGCUGCUCUUCGACGCUGCCAAUGUCGCCCUCUUGGACAUCAGCAGGGCCGCCGCCGCCGCCGCCAAGAGCGGCGGAGCCCGGUACGCGGGCGGGUCAGUGACGGAGGAGGUGUGGCGGCGGGUGAAGGGGUGGUGGAGCGUGGGCGGCGAGCAGCCGGCGGGGGGGGCACAGCGGCCUGGUGGUGGACAGGGUGUUGAGGAUGGAGGUGCCCAGCUGCGUGUGGGGGGAGAUGAUGUCCUCGGAAGUGGAAGAGGUUGGGAGGGAGAUAGGCGGUGAGUUGCUGGAGGACCUGAUCGGGGAAGCUCUCGCCGACCUCCUGAUUCAUCGGAGGCCAUGACCCUCCCCCCCAUCUCUCUCUCUCUCUCUCUCUCUCUGUAAGUUCUUCCGAAGAACGCAGUGAUUGUGGUCAUUUCUCGCCGCUAGAUAUAAAUUUGUGAUGAUAUUUUGCUUACUCUCUCUCUCUUCCCCCAUCAGAUUGUUAUGGAUCCUCCUCUUUGACCAUCCUACGAACAACGAAAACAAGAACCUCACUCGCCCUUCCGCUUCAGAACCCGCAUCGAGAGAGAGAGAGAGAGAGAGAGAGAGAGAGANNNNNNNNNNNNNNNNNNNNNNNNNNNNNNNNNNNNNNNNNNNNNNNNNNNNNNNNNNNNNNNNNNNNNNNNNNNNNNNNNNNNNNNNNNNNNNNNNNNNNNNNNNNNNNNNNNNNNNNNNNNNNNNNNNNNNNNNNNNNNNNNNNNNNNNNNNNNNNNNNNNNNNNNNNNNNNNNNNNNNNNNNNNNNNNNNNNNNNNNNNNNNNNNNNNNNNNNNNNNNNNNNNNNNNNNNNNNNNNNNNNNNNNNNNNNNNNNNNNNNNNNNNNNNNNNNNNNNNNNNNNNNNNNNNNNNNNNNNNNNNNNNNNNNNNNNNNNNNNNNNNNNNNNNNNNNNNNNNNNNNNNNNNNNNNNNNNNNNNNNNNNNNNNNNNNNNNNNNNNNNNNNNNNNNNNNNNNNNNNNNNNNNNNNNNNNNNNNNNNNNNNNNNNNNNNNNNNNNNNNNNNNNNNNNNNNNNNNNNNNNNNNNNNNNNNNNNNNNNNNNNNNNNNNNNNNNNNNNNNNNNNNNNNNNNNNNNNNNNNNNNNNNNNNNNNNNNNNNNNNNNNNNNNNNNNNNNNNNNNNNNNNNGGAGAGAGAGAGAGAGAGAGAGAGAGAGAGAGGACGGAGGGGCUGAGGGGCGAGCAUGGUUGGCGGGCAUUAAUGGCGCGUCCUUGGCGUUGGAAGCAAGCAAGAAAGUAUCGAUUAUAGAAAAUGGUGACCCGACAGCGGCGUGUAUGUCUGCCGGCGGAAAGGGAAAGGAGGGAGGAGCUCCACCCCCCCCUCCCCUUCCCCUACGUCUUAGAAGUCAACUAGCGGCGGCGGCAACAGCUCCCAAACGCUGCCGCCCACUGAACCCGUCCGUGGGGUCCCGCAUUCCCGCGUUGUUCCCGAGGGGGUCAGCGUAACGCCGCCCUUCCGAGGUGGUCCACCCCACGGAGGGGGAGGAGGAGGGGGAGAAGCUGAUCAGAGCGUGGUCCUCUCUCCGUGGUUAAAGGACAAAUUGUGUCAUAAAUCGGCUUUGGCCGGUUGCUCAACGGCCCACGGCCCACCGCUGUGGAUGCCCCUACCCGUCAAAAUCCCAUGUAUGGUCCGCGGACCACAACCGAUCUCGGGAUAAUCUUCGAGGGAUUGAGGCGAUCGCAUUCAAGAGAAAUUUCUCGAAAUAGAAAGAAUUGUGUAAAUGGGGCCUGAAUCUUCUCGUCAAUAAUUGAGUGCUCCAUGGGAAUGGCUCACUCGGAUAGACUCGACCAAGGAAAAGCCUACUCUCACUCUCUCGUCAAUAUUUAUAUAUAUAUUGAGGGCAAUAAUGAAGCAUUUAAUAAAAUAAAUACUUGACAUUUACUUUAAUAAUGAGUGGAAAAUCAGAGAUAAUUUAACUCAAAUACCAGGAAUAAGAAUAUACAUUUUAGCCGGAGUAGUUUUUUUUUUUAAUUUGACCACCGGUGGGUUGGGGGGGGGGGGGUAGUUGAGAUCUGAAUCUGUUAAAGUUGAGAUCUGGAUUUGCAUAUAUUUCUGGGCAGGCCCACCUGCUUCGCAGCCCGGCCCGGUACUGGGUGGGAAAUAAUUAGAUAAGAGCCCAAACAACCAGAUAUCCCCGGCCCAGAAAAUGAGAACGGGCCCUGGAAACAAUCACCCGCGGUCGAGUCCAAUCACCCGUUUUUAAGACAUAAAAACUGGACCAGAUGGGCCGACGUGUAGCGAGCGUCGGGGCAUUGGGUACCGGAGGGGAGCGGAGGAACAGAAGCAAUCGAGUUGACGAGGGGAACGGUACACAGAGACAAUAGACGACGUCCCACAGGGUGCCGGAGACGGAGCCGCAGCUACCCUGUGGGACGGACGCACAAGCUAGCGCCGACAGCGCCUUAUUAGCUUAGCAGAGAAGUACCGGGGAUGUUCUGACUGAAGGUAAGGAGGAAGUAACCUGGCUAACUGCUUCACGAAAGGGGAACUCACUCACAGGAGGGGGAACAUCAUGCCGAGGUCUUCAGCACCCACCACAAGGCCCAUCUUCUCCUUUCCAUGCUUCCCACCUGCCUCCGCCUCCCAGCAAUGGAGAACGGACUUCGGGGACUCGGCGCGUUGGGUGAAAGAUUGAUAGAGCACCAAACCACCGCCGGGAAGCUCCUGCUCGACCACGUCUUCGCGGGCGUAUCCUCUUGCUGCGAUCGGCUUGUCCCACGACGCCGCAGCCGCACGGGGCCCGAAGACGGUGACUGCGAGGGAGAAGUUAGCGGGGGCAAAGCAUCUCAGGACCCUCUCGACAAGAGCCUGGUAGUCCAACGUGGAGGGGUCGAAUCCCAUGGUCUCGUAGCUCGCGUAGCUGAAGCCGUCCUCCGGGGUGACGUGGAUGGUUGAGAGAGCGCGGCCGGUGAUCCCAUUCAUUGAGUAGCCGCAGGGGUCGAACUCGAAGUCGCAAAUGUCCAUCUCUGGGAUGAUGUCGUAAAUCCCGGCUAGCUUCGUCAUUUCCUUAGCUGAAGAAACCUUGCCCUCGGAGGACUUUUUGAAGAAAACUGAUGCGCGAUCCUUGUUUAAACCAGUCAUGCACAUCUCGAGGGUUACCAUGGGUUGCUCUGGUUUGUCGCAGGCGUAAUAGACAUGCCAAUUGCGGUUGGGAAUGGCCUGGUCGCCGAUCACGUAGGCACCAGAGGAGAGACCUCCAAAGUGACGGUUGAGAUCUGAAACCUCCUCGGAGAAGCUACGGUGGGGAGCAGGUUGAGCCUCUGGAAAUAUAAAGCUGCCACGAGAGUACUUGACAGACGUAACAUGGAGUGAGAGACCGGCAGCGAGUUCUAGGAUCCUAGGGAUGGAUAAGAGGAGCUUCGUGGUCCCGCAAGUCUUCAGGAUUAUCUUAUGAGGGAACACAAACAGACUUGAUUCGGAAAGGACAUAGGAGUCGAAGUCCUUGUUGGAAAGCUGGUUCACGAUGGUGCAAAAGGCAGUGUCCAGAAUGGAAUCAAUUUCGGAUCGGGAAAGAGCACGGAGACCGAGACCCUGGGGGUCCUUAAACAGAGGUGCAUCGGAAAAAGUUAUCUCCAGGCGCUUCUCGUAACCUUCAAACCCGAUGGGACUUUGAGGGGGAGGGUUUUGGGCCUCGCCCUCUAAAGUUGCCAUGUGAACAGACCUUUGAGCGGUAAACAGAUGGAGUGGGAGACGGAGAAGAUUGGGAAGUGUCGGAUGCUGAUUAUUGCCGAAAGCAGCUAGCCAGAGUGCGGUUUAAAUCGGAAACAAAACGAAAGUAGCUAAACAGAUGGUCCUACAGGACCGGAGAGGGCAUCCCGGGGGGGAGUCAGGAUGGUUUCCUCACGCACUGCCAACAACAAAGAAACGAUAACUGAUAAGAAAUGGUAAAAAGAAGAGAGUGACCUUAAGCGUGACAACUUUGAUCCUUCCUCUACUUACGU